UUGUUGAAUGGUGAGUGAUGAAAAAAAGGAGUGGAAGAUGGGUUUAUAUAGUGAGAUUAAUGUGACUAUGUGAUGAUCCAAGAACAUUCCUAGUGUUAAAAAUAAUAAUAUUGGGGUUCUGUAUUUUGUUAUGAGAUUUGUGAUGGGUGACUUAUUCGGAUCACAUUAUUAGCUUUAUAAUAUUAUAAAAUAAAUCAAGAAUCAAGUUAGUCUAAUAGUGUAAAACUAUGUUAGAUUUUUAUGAUGACUAAAAGAUUAAUGAUUCAAUUAUUGGGAAUAAGACUUAUCGAAAGAGAUAGUCAUUCACACAAAAGAAAUUAAUUUGUUACCCAAAAUAUUAAAGGAUUAUCCUUGGUAGUACAAAAAAUAUUAAAAUUUGGGUUUUUAGUGUGCUGGUGUGCUACAACUAGUUUAAUUAGUUGAAACUGCAUGAUAUAUGAAAUAUAAAUGACUAAUAUAAAUUAUACCUCAUAUAAGCAUUUAAUUGGUCAAAAAAACAUGUUUUUGUUAGAUAAAGAUUGAUGUUUAAUCUGAAUUUUGAAUACAAAAAGUAUCAGAAAAAGAUGGAAGAAAAAUAGUGUACUGUAUUGAAAGUAAAGGAAAAGUAGAAGGCCUAAGACACAGAAUUGCAAUUCAACAACUUAAAUGUGAUGAUGUGCAUGAAUUUUAAAUUGUGUUGGUGGGAACAGUCUUUUGUCGUCAUAGUCCUUUUUGUGCUGCUUCUUUUCUUUCAUUUGGUUCCUUUAUUCGGGUUACUUUCAUUUUAGGAUACAAAUUUUAAAAUUUAGUGGUGGGAAGCUCAUAGUGAUGUGUUCCACAAUUCUCUUCCUUUCCUCUUUGACUCUUUCAAUAUUUGAUUAAUAUUUCUUUUUUAUUUAUUAUAUUUUUAAUUUUAAGAGAAAAUAAUAUGUGUUCUCACGAUGUGAGAAUUGUUUGCACUUGUUCCUACCCGGGUAAACCGGAUACUUGUUGUCUUCGACCAUCACGUCGGGCUAUUCCAAUCCGACUAGAGUAAGGUGUCGCAUGACAACCCAGUUAUUUCGGGUUACCCCACAUUUCCAAGUUAGGCCAAGAACAUUGGAUUGGGCCUACGGGUCUGUCUUCAAGGCCCAAAUCAGCACCACAUUAGGUCUAACAUGUGGAGAGCUCGUGCGCUGCCACCGGUCGCCCAAUCUAGUCAAUGGGUAGCCUACACUUCAACUGCAUUGUUCCUGUAAAUAAGAGAGUAUUUUAUCUCUAAUAUAUCUGUCUAUUAAUCACUUAUCUCUCUACUUAUAUUCUGCCUCUCUAUCUCUCUAAAUACGUACUGACUUGAGUGUUGGAUAACCUUUUCAAGUACCUCCCCGACGGGUGUACAACAACAAUCAACGUCAACUCCACUUCUUCAUCACGAGCUCACCCGGUCAGACUCAGAUCAUCCGAUUUACCCCAGUUCCAUACAAAAGACAACACUAUUAACAUAUCAUUAAUUAAUUAUAUGCUAUCAAUAAUUAACUUUUAAAUAAGAGUGAUACACAUUAAUAAUGAAUGAUACAUUGCUAGUGUAAUAAAACUUUACAAUCAUGUGCACCAAAAUUAAAUUAGAAUUUUAAUAGGAUAAUAGUGCACUAUAGCAAAUGCAUAUAUCCAUAUCUAAGACAACAAUUAUAUCAUAUUGAUUUGAUAAAGUUUUAUUUCGAUUCAACAAUUAUAUCUUGUGAUAAAGUUCUAAUUAGAAGAAUCAUAUACAUAAGAGAUCAAGUGGUUUGAGAGGUUAACAAAACCAUUUGUACAUUGCAAUAAUCCGGUGGAGCUUCACACCUUUGCCGAUUAGGCUAAAAAACCUAGGUAUGGCUUAAUAGGGUUCAUAUCCUAAAGGACGGUUGAAAAAAAAGCUCAAUUUUUUUCGAGUAUGAACUUAUGAAUUUAAACUUUAUUGGGCUAUUAGAAUUGAACGGUUAGAGGUAACCCUUUAGUCAAAUUUAUAUGUAUCAUUGUAAGAUUCAUUGAUUAUUUUUGAGUUAAUUACACUGACACCCCCUGAGUUUUAGUAAAAUUAUACAAACUACUCAUCACUUUUUUACACCUACACAAACUAUCCCCUAGUUUUUAUACUUUCAUUACAUUGACCACCCCGCAUGAUAAAUAAGUGUAAUCUUUUAAAUAAAAAUGUGAUAAAUGCAAUUAAGUUAAAUAAAACAUGGUAUAGUGUGAGGAAAAAUCCAAAUAAUAUACAAAUAAAUGUAUCUUUAUUAUUUUUUUGUUAGAAAAUGCAUCAACAAUUCUAAAAAGAUAUUGUUUAAAUCGCUCUUAUACUAUAUCGUAACGAACCAAAAAUAAUAAUGAGGCAUCGACUCAUAUAUUAUUUGGACUUGUCUCCACAAUAUAUCAUGUUUUGUUUAACUUAAUUGCAUUUAUCACAUUUUUUAUUCACAAAAUUAAACUUAUUUCUUAUGCCGGGAUUGUGAGUGUAAUGAAAGUAUAAAAAUGAGGGGGGUUUGUGUAGGUGUAAAAAAGUGAGGGGUAGUUUAUGUAAUUUCACUAAAACUCAGGAGGUAUAAGUGUAAUUUACUCAUUAUUUUUUGAGGAAAAUUGUAUUUUUUUUCCUCCAAGAAGACAAUAUCCUAUUAUCAAACAAAACAUGACAAAAUUCAAAUUUAAAUGAGUGUUCUUAAAACAUUGAAAAUCUAAAAGUUGUGAAACCACUUAAAUCUUUUUUAAUGUUUUGAUUUUUUUGUAUUAUCAAGAGCAUUUUUAACCUUUUUGGAUAAGGAAUUAAUCACUUUUGUAAUGCAUGGUUAUCUAUCCCAACAAAUAAAUAUGACUCCCGAGAAUUAAUCUUUUUCAAUAUUUUGGUUUAUGAAUUAAUAUAUUUAAGAUACUGGUUAUCAAUACCAUUAAACUAAUGGAGUAAACUUGUGAGAGAAAUUAGUUUAUGGGGCAAUUUUUAAGCUAUUUAUUAUAUAAUAUUCAAAGAUAUUUAAAAACAUUAUAAGAUGUCAUUGAUUCUUAGAAUUAGCUCACUCAAUUAAAUUACCUAAACAAACAAUGAAUGCACAUUCAAGUUCAAACAUUAGGAAUGUCUCAUCCCUUUCUUUUACCCUAUGCUACUACAAGUCUGCCCCUUGAAAAAAUAAAUAUUACAAGUUUACAACACAAGUUAUUAAUAAAUGAUAAUGUAACAACAACAUUAAAUAAUCAAUGUCUUUAGACAGGUUCCACUUCAUAAAUUUGAUUAUUAUAUUCAUAACUCUAGGAUGGAGUAUGAAAAAUCCUUUAUUAAAUUCAGUUAUCUAUAUAUAAAAACAUUAAUGGGAGAAAGUCAAAAGGUGAUUUAUAAUCGUGCGUUAUUAUUAUACAAUAUAUAAAAUAAAUACAUGGAGCUUCCAUCAUUUAAGUCUCUUAUCUCAUAAUCAAUCUUAUCCACUCUGCAAAAAUUUGUACAUUCUACAAUGUUCAAUGAAUAAAUGCAUAGAAAGAAACCUGUGAAGUAUACUGUUUUUAUGUUAUUAUUCUCUAGAGUUUAGAGUAAGAAUCCAACAAUUGAUGCAAAAACCAGAGCAGAUAUUUCUGUAUAUUCUAUUCUUUUGCUUACCCUUCAUUUGUUUUCCUACGUACAUAUCCCUACAUCUAACAAUUAUGGUCCUGGCAUUAAAAAUUGUGAGCUAACACAACCAAAAAAGUAGCCCCAUGCAUGCACAAUUUGUGAAAUUUUCAUUGAUAUCUUGGACAUUAAUGUUACAGAUGAGAUUCUCUAUCAUACACUUCAAUGUCACGUCUUGUUCAAUGUCAUUGCUCUCACUGUGAGGGUCAGAGGGAAAAUCUCAGUAGGGUCUCUCACAAAGAUGUGGUCUCAGUCUCAGAUUUUACCUAUAACUUUGUAGGACUCUUUCUCUCUCUCUUUGCAUUUCCCUACACAGGCUGUUUUCUUCUACUCUACCAUUUUUUCCUAAAAAGUUCAUCCAUGCAUUGUACGGUCGUACCGACAUUUUUUUAUCAGCUUACCCUUUUGGGUAAUGAAUUAAUUUCUUUUUGGUUGCGUGUUUGUCCUUCACAGGAAUCGAACUCUUAAUCUUUUGGUCAUCCUAGAAAUCUAACAAGACAUUAUACUACUAGAUCAAUACAUUGCUGGUAAGUAAUACCGACAUUUAGUUAGCUACACUCAAGUACUUACUUUUUCUAUUUAAUGUGUAUGCAUUCCAUUGUAAUGGAAUAUGAUUAGUGGAUGAUAUAUUCUGAUAAUGUAAAAAUCUUUAUAAUAAUAAUUUUAUCAUAGUUGUAAGGUUGUUGAUUUUUUGACCUGAACAUUAUCAUUAGAGUAAAUUACACUGAUAUCCUUUGAGUUUUAGUGAAAUUAUAUAAAUCACCCCUCACUUUUCUACACUUAUACAAACCUCCCAUAUUUUUUAAUUUUCAUUACAUUGACCACCCUGUAUAAGAAAUAAGUGUAAUCUUUUAAACAAAAAAAUGUGACAAAUGCAAUUAAGUUAAACAAAAUAUAUAUAUUGUGUAGACAAGUCUAAAUAAUAUACAAAUCAAUGUAUCUUUAUUAUUUUUUGUUACAAAAUGCAUCAACAAUUCUAAAGAAAUAUUGUUCAAAUCGCUCUUAUAAUUUAGUUUAACGAACCAAAAAUAAUAAAUAAAUAUUGAGUCAUAUAUUAUUUGGACGUGUCUCCACAAUAUAUCAUGUUUUGUUUAGCUUAAUGACAUUUAUCACAUUUUUUGUUUAAAAGAUUACACUUAUUUCUUAUGCAGGAGUGGUCAAUGUAAUGAAAGUUUAAAAAUAGGGGAGGUUUGUGUAGGUGUAAAAAAGUGAGGGGUGGUUUGUGUAAUUUCACUAAAACUUAGAGGGUGUCAGUGUAAUUUACUCUUAUUAUUAUGAAUUCAAAGUGGGAAGGUCGUGUACUAUGUUUAUUCAAAGUGUAAUAUAUGUUUAUUGUGUUGUGAGUUAGAGAUUAAUCAAAGUGUAAUAUGUUUAUUGUCUUGUGAUUUAGAGAUAAAAUAAUGAAAAUCUAAUUCUAAAAGCACUUUCCAUACUUACUCGGGUAAAACAAUAAGGGCACAUGGAGGAGAGACAUGCAUUAGGCCCCACCCUUCUUUGGGAUAUUUAGUUUAAUCAGAAAAAUGUAUGUAAUAAUAGGGUAAAAGUUUAAUAUACUUUAUUGUAUUAUUUAAUUAUUAAUAAAUCUUAAAGUAAUAAAAAUAAAUAAUAAAUGAUGUAUUAAUUGUGCAUAAAUUUUAUAUUAUAAUUCAUAUAUGAGUAGAGAUCCAUUUGUAAGUUUUUUAAACUUAAUCCACGUCUUGACCAUCAAUUUUAUGAGCAUCUAAUGAUUUAGAUCUACUCACUAUUCAAAUAUAUUUAAUUGUUGUGUAAUCUAUCCCAACUCUUAGUAAUAAUAUAGUUGAACACGGUCAUUAUUUAUUCAUAAGUUUAUAAUUUAUCAUAUACAAGCAAUAUAUAAUGAUAUUUGAGUAAUUUUCAAUAUUGAAAUAAAAACUAGAUAUUUCUUGGCUACGUCCAUGAAGACAAUAUGUAUAUAUUUGCAUCCUUGGUCCCAUUAAGCAGGAACUUAGUACAUAUCCUGCAAUUUUUAACCUAGAAUACCUGUAAUAUGCAUUAUGCCCAUAAUAUCAAAUAUGUCAAAAAUUUAAACUCAUUGCUCAUUGAUAGUUAAUUUAUUCUUUUAACCUCAACUUUAAAAUAACACUCAAAAACUAAAUACCUAGUUAUUAAUGUAGAUAUCGAUCCGUUAAUUUCUCAACAUAAUUUUUUUUAUAUGUUCUCCUUAACUGGAUUUUUUUACAUCCAACAAACAGAAAUAAUAUAUUAAUACAGCAUAAGGGUGCUAACCAAAUACAAAGUUUUAACCCGGAAAAUUGAUGUUAAGAAAAUCGUUAACUAAUUUAUAACAUGUAAUUUUGUCUUAGUUUGUGGCAGGUAGGAUUCUUUAUUGAAGAGUACUCUUCCAAUUUAUGAUGUCGUUGUAUUUACUUUAAAAUAAAAGGAGAAAAAAAGACCAAUAUUACCUUAAUACAAAUUCAGACAUGCAUAUAUGUCUCACAAAGGGUCUAUUGUGAUUCUCGUACAACUCAAUCAUUAAAAUGUGAUUAUCUACCCCUCUUAAAAUUUCAUCCGUUCUUUAAAAUUGUGUUGAUUUUUUUUCCUUCUGAAAAUGAUAUCUCUAUUAUGAGUAUUAAUAGUUGACCCCACUCUGGCCAAACCGUACCAUAAUAAUGUACCAAUGUACCAACCGCUAGGUGCUGAGCUGUGUGAACAGAUUCACCCUGCUAUGUGACCCAAACAAACGGGAAACCGCAAAAGUAAAAUAGGGAAUAAUGCACGAGACUUCUACUUAGUGAAUUUGAGAAUGGUAAAUAUACAUGGUUUUAUUUCUGUAAGCGAAGAGGUUCUUUCUAUGUAAUAGGCAUAAAAGAUGUAAAUGUAGAAAAAACAAUUAUGGCAAGCGAAAGAAGUAGAAGGUUAAUGUGAUAAUAAUUCCCAUGAACUUUUUUAGGUACUACAAAGAGUAACUAAUCUUUUUCGGGAUGCGAGACUAUCUCUUAUAAUAAGUGUCACUUACAUGAAUUGAACAAUUGACCUUUUGGCCUUUCUGAAGUUUUAUCAAGACUUUACUCUAUUAGACCAUCGCCUAUGAAUUUGUUACUACGUACAUUAUGCAAUUACGAUUUGGUUGGUGCUUGAGGUUGAUAUUUUGAUGUAUGGAAAUUAUAGAUGUGUACUUGUUUUGGAGUAUAUAUGACACAAGAAGUAGUCAAGUACUAGUUACAUAUGGGGUCAAUGAAAAGAAGAAGACAAAUAGUGUAAGAAAUGUGUAUGAACAUAAAGCCAUGGGCAUAUAGAUAAAUUUCAGAGUUAUCAAUCGAAAAAAAGGUGAAUUGAUUUCAGUGUCGGCGGCACAUGAACUUCCUUCAUUAGUUUUGGGUUGUUUUUUCUACAUUAUUAUUAUUGUGUUAUUCAUAAUUCAUAUUUAAUUAUAUCUGAUUUUUAAAUAUAAUAUAAAUAAAUAGUAAAUAAUAUAUUAAUAAAAUAUAUAGAUUUUAUACUCUUAUUUUGUAGAUGUCUUAGCUUUGUUAUAUGUUCAUUAAUCCUACCUAGUCCAUUUCUAAGUAUGUGUCAAUAGUUAGAGAUUUGGAUAAUUUGUAUAUCAUAGGUUAUAAGAAUCUAUAUGCAUGACAAGUUACCAUAUAAUUAACCGGCUAAUAAAACUAAGUUUAUCAUUGCUGAUAAAAAAAUAAUGCUAAGUUUAUAGAAUAUAAUCAAGUUAAAGUUAUGUUUAGAAACAAAAAGAAUCUAAAUAUAAAAUUGUACGAGAACUCCUCCAAACAUUUUGAUCUACUCCAUAUAUAAGAAGUACGAAUUGAAUGGAAAUAAUUCAGAUACCUGAGUUUACACUUUUAAUUAACUACACUUUUAAAAAUGAAAUAAAUUAAAGCAAUAAUAAAACUGCCAACAUAUAAUUGAACAGAAACUAGAGAGCUAGAGGUGGAUGGAAACUGUUGGUUGGACCAGACUGUUAUCGGGGAGCCUCCAACCAUGAGGGAAUAGUGAAUAGUCACAAGUGAGACACCACGUUUUGAACCAAAACCUUAAAGCUUUAGUUUCAUGAGCAUUUCCUUCUUAUAAACUCUUUCGCUCCUCCCGCAUAUCUAAUAUGGGACUUCACACUUGAAUAAACCUAACAAAAAUAAUGAAAAAUAAAUUAAGGCGUUUUUUACCAUUCCCUUGUAACAAAAAAAAUAGAGGUGGGUGAUAAGUUAACAACAAUGAAAAAUCAUACUAUUUAAUUUUAAACCAUAAUUAUUAAUGUAUUAUAUUUUUGCAUAAAUUAAGGGGAACUAAUGCCAAAAAUCAAUUUUCUGGUUGACAUUUAAAUGUCAAAGAGCAAAAGCAGUAAAGUUAACAUGCGCUUACUUAUUAUCAAAAGUCAUACUUUCUAUCUAGUCUGGAGACAUUAUUUAACCUGAAGAUCUGUUAGUUCAUAUAUCAUUUAUUAUAUUUGAUUGAAAAAAUAUAUUUAAAUUAAAGUUUAAUUAUUAAAUAUUUUUUCUGAUCAACAAUAGCAAAUGACACAAUUUAUUGGACAAAAGAUGUGACCCUUACUUUUUGGUGCUACCAAAGGUAUUCUCACCUUUUUGGGUAAUAAACUAAUUUUUUUUGGUGUGUGGCUGCCCCUCACAACAAAGGUCGUUCAUAAGAAUAAAACUCUUGAUAUUUUGGUCAUCUUGUAAAUCUAGUGAGACCUUACACCACUAGAUCAACACUUUGUUAAUAAAUGGACCCUUAUUUAACCAUGCUCUUUCUUGCACAUGUUAGAACCCAUAUAUAUAUAUAUAUAUAUAUAUAUAAACCUCCCAAGGUUCCAAUAAAUUGACUAAUAUUUUUCAAAUUUUAUAAUUAAAUUUGAAUUGUACUACGAAUUAGUGAAGAAGUAAAAGAAAUCAACCGAGUCCCCAUACCCCACAAUAUUUGAAUCUAGAUUUUGCUUUGGUUACAACUUUCUAGCUUUAAUCAAAGCUAGAAAUGCUUACUCUACACUUUAUUGUUUUUUAACAACUCACUUAAAUGUUAACUCAUUGUAACUUUAUUAAUUAACUCGUUGUAGUUAACAAGUUAAAAUCAUUGUGAUCCCAUUUCACCCAUCUUUUCCAACAAGUUGUUAUCACAAUUACUUACUAGAAUUAACACAGAUUCCGGGGAUUAAUUGAACAAACUCAAUGGGUCCUCUAAUGUGACAACAGAAUCAUAAUCCAACAUAUCAAAAGAGAAGCUUCAAAGUGAAACACAAAUAUACUUGUUAUACUAGAUAGUGAAAUUUUCCACUUUUCCACUCCUUAGAUAGCGGGUCAAAAAAUCAUAACAUCUAUUUUAUACAUAGUAUCUUUGCCUUACUUUUCAUAAUCUUAGUUUAAUUAACCACCACAAUGGGUCCAUGUCACAUUUUAUAUAUAAAAUGGGUACAAUAUCUUCUCUUAUAGAAUAUGUGUUAUUCUAUGUAUCAUAAGUUGUUAUUAGUAAAAAAUACUUAAUAAUUAAUUUUUUAAUUUAUAUAUUUAUUUCAACUAAUCACAACUCUAACACAUAGAGUGAUACACAUUCUAAGACAUAAAGUAUGUUGUCCAUAAAAUUGUAAUAGUUAUACACUUACAGUAUCAAAAUGUAUACUUGUUCUUACAUCAUUCACCAUUCAUUUGGAUUCAUAUAUUGUCAAUAUAUAUAUAUUUUUCUCUAGUAUAAAAUUGGUUACUUACCUCACGAUUUAUACACAUAUAGUCACCAAUGACCAAGUACAUUGAUUGCAGAAUAAAACAUAAUAAAAAACGUUAGAAAUUAAAGAAAGAUGACAUCAACAAACAUUGGAUAUCUUUAAACUUUGGACAUGUAUGUGGGUAGGGACACCGCCAAAUUAAGAGUUAGGUGAUAAUAGAAUUUGUAUGUUAAUCUUAAUUGAAAGCAAACAUUGUUGCCACCAAUUAUUGUCGGGUCAAAAUCCUCAAUUAGCGAUUAAAUUAGUAUCACGCUUCUUUUUCACCAGACAAAUUGGUUUGUUUUAGGGUUGUUAAUGAUGGGUUCAAACCUUUAAUCAUUGAGGUUUGUUAGAUUGAAUAUAUUGAAGCCUGAAUAAAGUUUGAUAUAUAGUUGAAUAAUUGGCUUUGUUCACACGCUUGUACACAUUCCAUUGAGGAACAUCCUUUUCAUUCUAUCUUCAAAUAUAUCAAAAUCUUUGACUCAUGAGAGCAUGCAAAUUUGUAUCAUUCAUAUGGUUCUUGAUUGUGUCUAAUAGUUAGUGUAAGAAUUUGGUAUAGUAGGUACAUAGUAUAUUUAUUUAUUUUCAGCAGAGAACAAAUAUAUUAAUGGUAGUACGAGAGUACCUAAUUAUAAAUAAAAUAAAAAUAAAAAUAAAAAUAAAAAUAAAAUUUCAAUUAAAAUUAUGAAGCUUUUUUUUGUUGGGUAACAUAUUCUCUUUCAUGAGGAUUCCUAAAAUUAUGUGUGAAUUGCUUAAAAGGUGGAGGAGAGAUAUUUACUUUGAUGCUAUAGUAACUUCAUCAAUAUUAAUAAAUAAUUUUGUUUCCAAGAAACGUUGGGUAUAAAUUGGUGUUUCCAACGUUCAUGGCUGUAUUGGUAUAAUGGGAAAAGUGAUCUAUUAUCCUAAAUUAUAUUAUAAAUCAUGUUUUGCAUUAAUAAAAAUAUAUCAUAAAUAAAUUAAAUAUUCAUUAUUUUUUUAUUUUUAUUUCAAUAUCAUUAAUGUGAAAUAUAGUUUGAGACAAUAUAUCUUUGAAUUAUAUAAUUCCUUUUAGAUAAGGUAAGAAAAAAGACUGACUGCUUGGAAAUUUGUCCCUUGCAUGAAGGGUUACCCUAAUUGAGCAGCCCAGCUAUCAUUCAUUAACAUUUAUACGUAAUGAAAUCAGAAUAAAAUAUUCACAAUAUAUUAAAAACAAUAAUAUUAAUUUAUAUAUUGACAUAAUUAAAUCUAAGUAAUUACUUUGAAUAAAAUAAUUAUUCUGAGCCGAUUUAAAAAUAAAUCAAAUAAAUGUUAAUCCAAAUCUUAGAGAAAGAGACUAAGGAAAACCAUAAUCAAAGAUUAGGAAAAAUUUGUUUAUCUCUAAAUAUGAUUGGUUAAUUAAAUAUGUUUCUACAUAAAAAUUAUUAUACAAACUAACAUUAUUUUACAUGGAGACAUUUAUUUAUUUGGAUUAACAAGCUUAACAUCAUCAUAUGGAACAAAGUGUAGAAAGUUGUGGGUUCAAGUCUUACCAUCAAUAAAAAAGGAGUAUCACCUACAACAAAAUAAUAACAAUCUAACCUACUAACAAUUGUCGAUAAAAAAAACAUCAUCAUAUGACUCACUUUUUUAAUUACGCAUGGGAGUGAUUUGACCCUGACAGCAACUAUGAAUAAACAUAGUUGAUAUAUGUAAAACUCAAUUAAAAAAUGUAAGAAUGUUAAAUUAUCUUCAACAUGCAACUAGAGGACACAUUUAGUGCAGUGAUAAUACGGAUAAGCCACACAAAGAAGUUACUCGAUUAUUUUGUUCCUCAGGAACACACAACCUAUACAAUAAUGCAGGUGCAACAGACAAUGAAAUUUAUAAAUAAUGAAAUGUGUGGAUAAAAAGUUCAGGUUAAAUAUGAUAUAAAUAGUCUUACUUGUCGGAUGGUUCAUUACAACUUCACAAGAUGCAAAGAUGAGAGUGAAAUAUACAAUUCAUCAUAACCAUACUCAUAGCAUUAUUGCACCUUAUCUUAUACAUGUCUUAUAUUAAAACACAUAAUGUAUUUAAUUAUCAAAGUACUUGUUCUAACAUACUAUAUAAUUUAUGCAUAUGAAUAAAAAAUAUACAUAUACACGACAGAAUUAAUAGUAAAGAAAAAGUAGACAUGAUUCACAGAAUAGCACUGUUGGACUGAAGAAGCAUCCACAACCAUGGAUAAACAUUUGUUGUCCCCAUGCAUAUCUGAAGUCUGUCUCAAAGCAAUCAUAAUGAAACAAAAAUAGAAAACGUCAUGAAUAUUUUUUUUAAUUAACAUGAUAUAUUUUGAUUGAUAUGGAACAAACUUAUGUACAUUAGAUCCUUGUCCUACAACUAGUAUACAUAUAUUAAAAAAAUAACAUAAGGUUGAAUUCUACAAUAUCUUUUUUUUCAUUUCAUGUUGUUGUUUGUCAUUUUCUAUUGGUGUGUAGUUUGGUUGGGCCAACAUAAUAUAAGGUUAAGAAAUUGAGAUGCAUGUACAUGCAAUGGAAUGUGGGCCACCAUAAAGACAAGGGUAUGGUGAGAGAUUCCUUACCGACAAUUUUGCAUGCUCUUAGAAGGGUCCAAAAUUGAGACACUUAAAAUAUAAGGGUAAUAGAAAAUUGAUAUUUGAGGGGUUUUGUGAAUCUUGGUGAACAUUGCAUUGCAUUCAAGAGGAACCUUCAAUGAAAUCUUGUAGUGAAUUUUUAAAAAGGACUAAGAUUUAUUUGAUAUUAUUUUUCUUACAUACAUGUUGUCUUAAUAAUAUCAGCAGACAAACAUGUAUGGAAUCUGAUAAAUGUGUAGUACUGAAUUUGAGAUAUUAUUUGUCUGCUAAACUGCUAAACAUAGGAUACCAUUUUUAUAAAAUGUUCAUGCCUAGUAGUAGCAUAUAUCAUACAAACCACUUUUCACUUUUCUACACUACACUGACCGCCUAUGAAGCACAGAUACGGAUACGUGUAUUGGAUACGAUACGUAUCCGAUACUCGACACGCAUUUUUUCUAAAAUUUAGGAUACGAUACGUUUAGGGAUACGUGUAUAAAUUAAUAAAAAAAUACAUUAAAUAUGAUAAAUUAUAAGUGUAAAUCAAAAUAUUCAAAGUAAAAAAUAUAAUGGAAAUUGAAAAUCAUUGUCCUCCAAAUUUCAAAAUAUCAAAACUAGAAAAUAUAGUAGAAUAAUUCAUAAAAUUGCUUAUUUUUUUUUUUGAUCAGCAAUGAAUUAUAUUAAAUAGAGAAAAAAAUUAGGAGAACAAGUGGUGCUCCUAUCCACAAAAAAACCUUUACAUAUGCAAAUUGAAACAAUUUGAAGGGCUCCACACCCAAUCCAUGAACGAGUAAUAGAAUGUAGGAGAUCUAGCAGAGAUAAUGUUCCAAGAAUGAAGCUGAAUAACAGAAAUUACCGCAUCAAGAUUACAAGGGGAAUUAUCAAAAAUAGCUUUGUUCCUUGCCAACCAAAGAGACCACAAGGUGACAAACCAGAUAGACAUCCACUGAUUAUGAUAAGGAUUUCCUAGCCGCAAAUAAGACCAAUGGGAUAGGAAGUUAUUCCUAAUUCCAGCUGGAAAAACAGAAUUAAGUCCAAACCAGGAAAAAAUAGCUUGCCAAACACCAUAAGCGAAAGAGCAGGAAAAAAACAAAUGAUCAACAGAUUCAUCCGCCAUUCCACAGAAAACACAUCCUAAUUGUGCUCCAUCCCUCAAGAUACCUCUCCUAACCAGAUUUAGCCGGGUUGGAACUCCAUCUACAGAUAACCUCCAAACAAAACAUCUCAAUUUAAGCGGAACAUUGGAUCCCCAUACUUUUUUAUAGAACCACGAAUCAUAGCUAUUAUCCUCAUUCUGUAAGGCCUUAUAAGAACUUCUAACCGAGUAAGUUCCAUCUUUUUCAUGCACCCAAAACCACCCAUCAGCACAAUCCUGCAAAAUCCUGACAUCCUUUAAAGAAUUAAGAAGGGCAUCAGCUUCCUCUUUUUCCCAAGAAAACAACAGUCUACGCCAUUCCAGAUUCCAGCACCAAACAUUAUUCCUCCAAUCGCCCAAUGAGCUAAUAUAAGCAUUUUUGUCCAGAGCAACCUGAAAUAACCUAGGGUAAAGACAGUUAAAACUCACAUCCCCAAACCACUUAUCUUUCCAGAACGAAGUAGAAAAUCCCGACCCGACUCUUCUGAUGACCCCCCCAUAAAACCAACUGUUUUGAAUACCAUUCUCUCUACUCUGCAGACACCCCAGGUCUCUCCACCACACCGACCCCUUCCUGAAACACUCGUCCCUGAGAAAAUCCCCACUCGACUCCACACAAUAUUUGGAUCUCACUACUCUCACCCAAAAGGAUUCACGUUCAUGCAUUAAUCGCCACCUCCACUUACCUAAUAAAGCUAAAUUAAACAGACACAAAUUUUUUUACCCCGAGACCCCCUGCCUCCUUAGAACAACACACCUUUUUCCAACUCGCCCAAUGGAUACCUUUACUCACCUCAUUCCUACCCCAAAGAAAUCUUCUCUGAAUUUUAUCAAGCUCAUGAAUAACAGAAACAGGAGCUUUAUAAAAAGAAAAGAAGUAGAUAGGUAAAGAUGACAUGACCGACUUCAGAAGAGUAACACGUUGACCGCUCCUGUAUGAAAAAUAAGUCUAUUUUUAAAUAAAAAAUGUGAUAAAUGCAAUUAAGUUAAACAAAACUUAUAUAUUGUGGAGAAAAGUCCAAAUAAUAUACAAAUCAAUGUAUAUUUAUUAUUUUUUGUUACAAAAUGCACCAACAAUUCUAAAGAUAUAUUGUUUAAAUCGCUCUUAUAUUAUAUCAGAAUGAACCAAAAAUAAUGAAGAAGUAUCCACUCAUAUUAUUAGGAUUUAUCUCCACAAUAUAUCAUAUUUUGUUUAACUUAAUUGCAUUUGUCACAUUUUUUGUUAAAAGAUUACGCUUAUUUUUCAUGCAGGGGCGAUUAGUAUAAUGAAAGUAUAAAAAUGAAAGAGGUUUAUGUAUGUGUAGAAAAUGAUGAUGAUUUGUAUAAUUUUGCUAAAACUCAGAGUCAGUGUAAUUUACUCUUAAUAUAUUAAUUAAUUCAUGACAUUAUUCAAAAUGCAUUAGACCUGGAUUGUAAUUGACAAUAACAUUAUAUACUUCAUUUUUUAAAAGGUCAAAGUAAAAAAAAUAUAGUUUUUCCUAGAAUCUUAUAUGUCGUCAUUUAUAGGUGAUAAAAAUACUACUAUGUAAUAGUUUAGAUUUCAAAUAAUAUUUUUUUUCUAUCAAACCAUUAUGAGUGACAAAGGCAACACAAAAACAUUUUUAGGAACUUGAACUAGAGAAUUUAGAGAAGUUAAAAUAAAAUCCUAUCAAUUGAUCUGCACACUUGAUUGUUGGUGGUAAGAAGUUUUUUUUAACAUACACAGAUGAGAUGCAUGAGGGAAGGUGAGAUUUAAUUACUUGAUCUAUGUGGUUGGGUAAAGAUAGUAGUAAUAAGAUAUUAGAAAUUUAUAAUUAAGGUGAACAUUAUAUAUUUGAUACAAUGAUAUCAGCUAUUUAUUUUUGUGAUUAUAUUAUAAAUGGUCUAAUUACUGACUCCCUUUAGAUUUCUAAAAACUGAUAACGGAUAUGGACUUAAUAGGUGGAUACCCAUCAGGUUAACACAUAGGAGAUAAUGAGAACCUUAUAAGUUAACGCAUAAGGAAGGUUAUGGUCCCCAACACACCAAAUCAAAUUCAGUUUUCUCCUCUUUCCAUCAGAGUGAACAUGCAAGUCCCAAGAGGAAUCAGAGAUUUAGUUGAGGAAGACCAUCAUACCACAAAACCUCUUUUAGAAAUGUAGGUCAAAGGAGCACAUCCAGAAUAUGGAUUCAGGUAUGACACUACCCCAUUUGUUUCAUAUAUGUGUGUGAGAAUCAUGAGAUUCAAGAUCCUAUGAUUAGUAUUUCACCAAUCAUAAGGAAUUCCCAUCAAGUGGUAUCAGAGCAUAGGUUCUGAAUUUUUAUAAUUCUCCAUAAAGGGUGUUUUUCCAAUUUUUGUAUGAACCAUAAUUUAAAUUUGGAACUUUUUUGUUUGCUUCCACUGUAAUGUUAUGAAGAUUGGAAAUUUAGGGUUUGAAUUAUCUAUCAAUAUAUGAAAUACUACUUUUAUUUUAUGCUUUUGCAAUCUCGAUUGUUGCAAAUUGUGUUUAUCAAUACGAUUAUGCCAUUGCUCAUCCAAAGGAGGUGUUUUAUAACACUGCUCAACAUUAUCGUGCAUACUAUGAUCUUCUUGGUGUUACUUAGAAUGCUAAUGCUUUCGAAAUCAAGAAAGCCUAUUACAAACUCUCUCUCAAAUAUCAUCCAGAUAAAAAUUCUGAUCCAGAAUUGUGAAAAAAAAUUGUUGGUUAAAGUGGCAAAUGCUUAGGAUAUUUUGAAAGAUGAAUCAAUAGGGUAACGUGCAUUUUUUUGGGCACUGUGCUAUGAUAUCAUGCAUUUUUUUGAAUUCAACUGGGAAUUCAAUUGAGUUAAUGUUUCAAUGCAUUGCACUUUUGUAUAAUAUUACGUGUUUUCCUAUAUUAUGGUAUAUGUAUAUUGAAAUUUCAGUAUGUGCAUAUAUAUUAUAUGUAUAAUCAAAGUGUACAUACUUAUAAUGAUUUAUAUUGCUAUUGCAUUGGUGCAAAUGUUUAUAUCAAAAUGCUUUCUUUGCCAUGUUUCUUUAAAUAGCUUGCACUGUUUUGAUUUGGAAUUAUAUGGAAGGAAACUGCUUCUUUGCCAUGUUUCUGAAGGUUUUAAUUCCAAGAUUAUAUUUUUUGUGAUGAACUCAUAUUGUUUACCUUUUUUUGUUUGGUAAUUAUUUUGAAUUAAUUGAUGCAAUAUGUUGCCAAAGUAAUCUCUAUUGUGGAAAUUAAUUGAAAUUACACAAAUGAGUAUGAGAUUAUUUAUGCAAAUUGUGUUCGGCCCGAAGGAAAACAUAAUUUGGCCAAAUAAUAACAUACAUAUAAUGAUAAAUAUGUAACAAUUAUAAAGUUUUUUUCUUCAAGUGAAUAAUAGUCGCUCCCAAGAAAUGCUAUUGUUUGACAGAACUAAUUGUUAAUAUUUGAUCAUUACAUUGAGAGUACCACUUACAAAUUAAUUUCUUUGUCCAAAGACUAAAAAUUGAUAUUGUGCUAGGUAACUUGUGAUGGGUCUAUUAUGUGAACAUGUCUUGUUUUUUUUUAUAUAUAUUACAUGACUUGUUUGUUUAGAUUUGAACAUGUUAUCUAUAUUAAUUCUUUGUUAACCUUCCUUAUGCGUUAACUUAUGGGGUUCCCAUUAUCCCUUAUAAGUUAACCUGAUGGGUAUCCAUCCAUUAAACUCAUAUUCGUUAUCAGCUUUUAGAAAUCUAAGGGGAGCCAGUAAUUAGAUCACUUAUAAUGUAAUCCCGGAAAUAAAUAGUUGAUAUCAUUGUAUCAAAUAUAUGAUGUCCACCUUAAUUAGAAAUUAUAAAUUUAUAACAAUCUCCCACUUGGGCUUCAUAUCUUCCUGAAAAAAUUAUAUCACAGGUUCUUUAGGCACGCAUCUGUAUGUUAUUUAUAUUUAGACUUCUCCUUAAUACAAUCUAGUUUAUCUUAUAUAUCAACUAUGGAACCACCACAACUUUCAUCACAUUUAAGUGUGACUCGACCACGAUGAUCACCAUAUUAAUAUACUCAAUGACAUAGAUCAAAUAUAGAUGAGUGACAUGGAAAUUUCAUGCAAUGUGAUCUCAAACAUGUCUAUUUCUAAUUGAUCCUUCUUUAUUCUUUAGUCAGAUCAAUCCAAAGUCUUUAAUUACAACAUAAUAGUUAUAAUGCACAAUUUCAAAAUAAAACAAUAAAUCAUCAACUUUAUUAUGCAUAAAAAAAAUUGUAUAUAAUAUCCAAAGCAAAAUAUAAAACAUAUAGACUCCCACAGAACUAAGGUACCCUAAGAAACAACACCUAAUGAGCAACAUGCUCAUGAAAGACUUUAGGUACCAAACCCUUAUUCAGUGGAUCAGCUAGCAUAAAAUUUAUCUCUAUAUGUUCUAUGAAAACUUAUCCAUUUUGAACACUUUCUUUAACAACCAGAAACUUUAUGUCAAUGAAUUUUGAAUUUGUAGAACUCCAAUUGUUGUUGGAGUAAAGAACCGCGGACUUGUUGUCAAAAUAAAUCCUCAAUGGUCUUUCAAUNNNNNNNNNNNNNNNNNNNNNNNNNNNNNNNNNNNNNNNNNNNNNNNNNNNNNNNNNNNNNNNNNNNNNNNNNNNNNNNNNNNNNNNNNNNNNNNNNNNNCCUGAUUUACUGUCUUUCAUGCCAAAUCUAUCUAGGACUUUAUCUAUAUAGCUUUCUUGUGAUAACCUUAGGAUACCUUGAGAGCGAUCUCUCAGUAUCCGAAUACCUAAUACAAAAUAAGCUUCCCCAAUAUCUUUCAUUUCAAAAUUCUUCAUUAGAGAUCUCUUGGUCUCAUGCAAUAGUCUCAUAUCACUGCUAGCAAGCAGUAUAUCAUCGACAUAUAAUACCAGGAAUUCUUCAUUAGAGAUCUCUUGGUCUCAUGCAAUAGUCUCAUAUCACUGCUAGCAAACAGUAUAUUAUCGACAUAUAAUACCAGGAAGAUAAAUUUACUCUCACUGAACUUAUGGUAUACACAAUCUUCAACUUUAUUUGCCUCAAAACCAUACGAGGUAAUAACUUGAUGAAAUUUGUAAUUCCAUUGACGAGAAGCUUGUUUAAGCCCAUAGAUGGAUUUCUUUAAUUUGCAUACCAUAGAAUUUGAGCGAACUGACACAAAGUUUUCUGGUUGCACCAUAUAGAUCGUUUCCUUAAUGUCACCAAUAAGAAACACAGUCUUAACAUCUAUCUGAUGUAGCUCUAAAUCAAAAUGAGCCACUAGUGUUAAUAUUGUUCUAAAAGAAUCGUUCGAAGAUACUGGAGAGAAGGUUUCUUUAUAAUCAAUGUUUUUUUUUCUGAGUGAAACCUUUAGCUACUAGACAAGCUUUAUAUCUGUCAAUAUUACUCUUCGAAUCCCUCUUGGUUUUAAAUAUCCAUUUGCAACCAAUAGGUUUCGCACCUUUAGGAAAUUCGACAAGAUCCCAAACGUCAUUAUCAUGCAUAGACUUCAUCUCAUCCUUCAUGACAUUGAUCCACUUUUGAGAGUUACAACUUUUCAUGGCUUGACAAAAGUUCAAUUUUGUGAUUCUGUUAACCCAAUGCCAUCCUCAUGUUCUUGAAGAAAUACAAUAUAAUCAUCAGGAAUUGCACUUCUCCUCUCUCUAGUAGAUCUCCUUAAUGAGACACUUUUACUUCUUGAGGUUGUUGAAUUUGUUCUAUAGGUACUUGAGGGACAACCUCAUUGUUGUCUUGUUCUGAAAUAUUGUCAAGGACAAUAUUCUGAACAUUAUCUUCUAUUAUCGAAUUUAUUCCUUGAGUGGUAAUAGACACAAGAACUUGUUCACUACCAGUGACAUGUUUUUCCUCAAAGACAAUAUUCUUUAUGUUCUCUUCCUUCCCAAAAUCAACUUCCUUGAGAAAUCUUGCAUUUCCCGUCUCAAAAAAGAGUCUUGAAAUGUGAUCAUAAAAUUUAUUGCCCCGAAAGCAUUCAGCAUAGCCAACAAAAUAACAACUAAUAGUUUUAGAGUCUAGUUUUCUUUCAUGCAAUCUAUAAGGUUGCGCCUCAGCUAGACAACCACAAAUGUGCAAGUGUUUCAAGCUUGAUCUUUUAUUAGUUCAAAGCUCAUAUGGGAUUUUGUUAACUGCUUUACUUGGCACCCUAUUAAGGAUGUAAAUUGUGGUCUUUAAAGCUUCCCUCAAAGAGACUCUCGUAAGGAAGAAUGACUAAUCAUACUUCUCACCAUAUCCUUAAGAGUUCUAUUUCGUCACUCAGCAACACCAUUCAUGCUAGGUUUGCCUAGCAUAGUGUAUUGCGGAACAAUUCCAUACUCUCUGAGGAAAAGUACAAAUGGUCCUAGACGUUGUUCUUCUGAUCCAUCAUAUCUGGCAUAAUAUUCACCACCGCAGUCAGAUUUGACAGCCUUAAUUUUCUUUAUAAGUUGAAAUUCAACUUCAACCUUGAAAGACUUGAAAACAUCCAAGGAUUGAGACUUCUCAUGUAUAAGAUAUAGGCAGUUUUACCUAGAGUAAUCAUCUAUGAACGUAAUAAAAUAAUGUUGUUCAUUCCAGGAAGCCAUAGGGAAAGGACCACAUAUAUCUGUAUGUAUUACUUCUAAGAUAUCUUUAACUCUUUCGGCACCUAACUUUCUUUUGUUUGUCUGUUUUCCCUUUAUGCACUCAACACAUACCUCAAAGUCUGAUAAAUCUAAAGGGUCAAGAAUUGCAUCCAACACAAGUCUUUGAAUUCUUUGUUUAGAUAUAUGACCUAAACGUUUGUGCCAUAAGGUGGAUGAAUUCUCUUUUAAUUUCCGUUUUGUACCACGUGAAUUUGUUUGCAGUAUUUCAUUAGUGGAACUGGAAACAUUAAGCAUAUACAAAUUAUCAAUUAAAGAACCAGAACCAACAACAUUUGAAUUUUGAUAGAGACUAACUUUAUUAUUUCGAAAAGAACAAGAAAAACCAAAUUUGUCCAAGCUGAAAACACUAAUUAAAUUCUGCCUAAAAGACGGUACAACAAAUGUCUCAAAUAAAUCCAAAUGAAAACUAGUUCUCAAACAUAAUCUAAAUGUUCCAAUAGUCUCAACUACAACCAUUUUGCCAUCGCCCACAAUGAUGAAUCUUUCAUCAUCACUUGGUUGUCGGCUCCACAGGCAACUAUCAUAGUGAUACUAAUGUGAGUAGUAGCAACAGAAUCUACUCACCAAGUAUCAUUGGGUACAAAAGUUAAAUUAAUUUCAGAACAACCAAGAGUUAUAAAUUUACCCUUCUUUACACGCCAUGAGGCAUAUUUAGAACACUCUUUCUUUAUGUGUCCUUGCUUCUUACAGAAGUAAAAGGUAAAUUCCUCAUUAUUCUUCAAUUUCUUUUGCUGAGAAGGCCCUUUUGCAGCACAUUUAUUGCUCUUUCUUUUCUUAUUUUGAGGGUCAUAGCCAAGUGAACACUUUCAGCCUUAUCUCUCUACAACCUAUCUUCCUCUUGCACACAGUGAGAUAUAAGCUCAUUAAGGGACCAUUUGUCCUUCUGAGUGUUAUAACUUACUUUAAAUUGCCCAAAUUGUGUAGGAAGAGAGAUCAAAACCAAGUGCACGAGCAGGUCAUCUCAAUAAUGUACUCCCUUAUGUUCUCUUUGCUUUUAUACUUCAUGGAAAUGAGUUUAGCCAAAAGGCUACUCGUCUUCGCCUUUUCAUUCUUGACAAAGAAUUGUUCUAUUUCUUCAAGGAACUUUCUUGCACUUUCAUCCACAGAUAUAGAGUCCCGAAACGCAGCGUUUCAUGAUCAUCUAGAAUAGAGCGUUCCCAUUUCUCAAUUUUAGCUUCAUCAAGGUUUUCCGCAGUGGAAAUGGAUUUCUCCACACGAAGUGCCAAAUCCAAAUCCAUAUAGCCGAGAAUAAUUUCUACAGCUUCCUUCUAAACCUUAAGGUUUGUCACAUUCAGCAAUUGGAUGUUACUGAUUUGAGCAGAAAAAUUUGCAGUAUUGGUAAAAGACACUGAAUCUACAUAACAAAGAAUUAAUACCUAGUACAAUAUGAAUUUUUAGUCUUUGGACAAAGAAAUUAAUUUGUAAGUGGUACUCUCAAUAUAAUGAUCAAAUAUUAACAAUUAGUUCUGUCAAACAAUAGCCUUUCUUUGGAGCGACUAUUAUUCACAUGAAUAAAUUCAAUUUUCUCCUAUCCCAUCAGAGUGAAAACGCAAGUCCCAAGAGGAAUCAAUGAUUUGAUCGAGGAAGAUCAUCAUACCACAAAACCUCUUUCAGAAACGUAGAUCAAAUGAGCACAUCUAGAAACAUGGAUCCAGGUAUGACACUGCACCCUUCGUUUCAUAUAUGUGUGUGAAAAUCAUAAGAUUCAAGAUCCUAGGAUUGGUAUUUCACCAAUCAUCAGGAAUUCCCAUCAAUAAUAUGAGGAGGGAUCCACUUAUUCUAAUAGUAUAUUUUUUAAACUUACUUCUCAUUCUAACCCUCCAUUCUAGGGAAAUUCAAUGAUUUGAAUUAAUGAGUAGAUCUAAAUCAUUAGAUGUCCAUAUAAUUGAUGACUAUGAUGAAAUGUAAAUUUAAAAAACUUACUCUUAGAGUAAGUUGAUCCCCACUCCUAUAACAUUAGUCACAUUCACACUUCAUUUUUUAUAGCUAGGAUAGUACCAUCAUACCAUUGUUAUAGCCAUAUGUGGACAAAUAUGAGGACAAACUCUUUAGGAUCCUCCCAUCUUUUCGAUUUUUAAAGUAUAUGCUUAGUGCAUUAUAUCAAUUUUUGUCUAUAUCGUAAAACCUGAAGAUGUGACUAUUAGAAAAAUAAAAUAGUUCCUCUUGCUUUAGCAGAUUAGAGGUUUUGUAAGUGCCACCAAUGCUUGUGAAAAGGUAGCACUACCAACUCUCAUAGUGUUCAACCCAUAUGGAGCACACACUUACGGAAUAAAAUAUCUCCAUAUAUUAGGAGAUACUCAUUCGACCACUUUAUGUCAUAUUGUUUUUAGUUUUUAGAAAUAUUUUUGCAAUAAAAAAUUAAAUAUAACAUAUAUUAUGAUUUUAAUGAUUAAUUGAAAUAAUUUAUCUCCUAAGAGAUACAUUCAACUCACUUAAAAAUGUCCAUAUCAUUGAGAGUUGUGGAAAGAGAUUUAGUGUAGCAAGAGACAAAGAUAACAGCAUCAAGAGAGACAGCAUGUAAGUGGAACAAGAUAUUUUUUACAUUGCAUGUUAUUAAGUGAUUAAAAUAGAAAUUUCUUACCCUUUUUACUAAAGAAAUCGAAGUUCCUAAAUGCCUACCAAGACAUGGUAUAAUUUGUUUCACUAGAAUUUCUUAUUUAUAUAAGAAAUUUUUCCACGAGAAUACAUAUAUUUGUUUUGUUUCCUCUGAAGCUGAUAUAUACAAAAUAAGGUUUGUAUAACUAAUUGGGACAACUUUUACUUUUUAUAACACAUAAUACAAGACUAUGCAUUAUAAAAAAUCAAAGAUAUCGGAAAGUUAUCAUGGUUAUUUAAAAAAAAAUACUUUCAUAUCUAAAAUAUCACUUGAAUUUUGCACAUAAGUACCCAUACAAUGGAACAAAUAAUAAACUAGGAAAAAUGCAAUGAGUGUUAAUUGACACAGUUUACAUUCAACAUGUACCUUAAUUACAGAAAUAAGUUAGACAAUUGGUCAAGUAUGUGUGUCUAAUGUGUCAAGUCCCUCAAAUCUGAGUUUCUAAUGACCAAAGAGUGUUCCCUAGCCUUAAAUUUUAAAACUAUAAUGAGUCAAAAUUUGAUGCCUACAUUAUCUAUGAAGGAGCUGUAGUUAAUGGUUCCAAUUAUAGUUAAGGAGAAUGUAAAUGUCAUUCCAAGAAUUAGUUGCUGUUUAAAAUUGUCAUCAUGUAAGUAACAUGAUUUCAGGUUAGUCAUUAGACUCAUCAAACCAACUUUCUUUGUGUAUGAUUUGUCCUACUUUUUGUUCAAUUUAUUGCAUGUCAUAAGCUUAAUUUGUGGGUUGCAUCUCUUUUUUGAAAAGCUCCCAUAAGCCAUACUGAAAACUUUGCAUUAGUCUAAAAUACUGCACAACUACUCUAUGGCUCAAUCAAUUUUGGGUUAUGAGAAAUGAAACGAUUUUCUUGAAGAAAGAGUCUAGUUAUAUUCACAUUUUUUUAUUUAAUUCAAACUAGAUCUUGGAUUUGGUUCAUCUCUUUUAUAAAUAAAAAUUCGUUAACUUUUAUAAAUUGACAUAUGGAUCCAAAACUCUGUAUUUCUUUAGCUACUAAAAAGAUCACUGAUUAUUCUUUGUUUGUAUAGGGUGGGCACCCCUUAUGUUAAGUUUAUACAUUUCUUUCUUUAUCAAAAAUAAAUUGAUAAAGGUUUUGUUCUGGAAAUUUUUAUGAGAGGCUUGCAUGUAGAAUUACUGUAUGAAGUUUUAAGUAGGGCUCUUCUGUAUGUUGUAACAGCAAUUGUUUCUGACAUUGAAAAUGCAUAUUUUAAUGUAUACUCAUCAUCAAAUGUAGUUUGAGGAGGAUUGCUCAAAUUAGCACCCUUGAUGUCGGUUCUCUUUAAUUUGGUAUAGCCAUAUAACAAAUCAAGGUAUCUUAUGCAGUGUGCAUGCCUUAUAUAUGCCUUCCACUUUUUUUUUUGUUUCCCACAGGUAUCCUCGCACUGGAGGCAAUAUUGUCCAAGUCGGUGACAUCCACAUACGACUAACUCUCCUAGCAGAUAUUUUUUCCAUACAUGGUGUUUGUAUUGGUCAAUAUGGCAUAGUUUUGGGUAGAUGGAAGUUGAACAGGGCAAUUCUUCUUGAGAAUACCAUGUAAAAUUUGCUUGUUUUUUUUUCCAAAAUUAUUUAGUAGCUAAAUGAUUCACUAUAUAUAUAUAUGUAUGUAUUUCUGUCAUGAUAUAUAAACAAUUCCUUUUCACCUAUUUUAUUUGCACUUUAGCCAACCAGCUUGUAAGAAUGUUAUGCAUAGAAAAUGAUGUAUAAAUUAUUAAUCAAAAUGUUUUCACACAUACAUCAUCCAAAAGUUUUGGUCAUUGAAAGUGAAUUCUACUUCCAGAUGAUGAACUUGACCUACAUAUUCAAGAGAUUCAAAUCCUAGAGUUUAACACUUCAAAAAAUGCUUUUACCUAACAACCAUUCUCAACCCAAGGAUAUAAAAGAAUAAAUAAACAAACCACUACACCAAUCCAUUCAACUUCAAAAGAAAAUUAUGAUAUGGUUCCAAUUACGUUGAUAGAUGUAGAAGAUGAUUGAGAAUUUGUUGUUGGUGCAGGUGGUGUUGGUUCUUGAGGAGCGACAGUUUUUUCCAAAUCAGCAAUGAUAUCUAAUGUGUUUCCUCCCAAAUUGAAUAUAGUUUCAGAACCCUCAGCAAAAGGGCAUUCAACAUUUUCAAAUUCAUCCACGCAAGUUGAUUGAUAUGAUAUCACUGCACUAAACUUGAACUUAGCCUCAAUCAAAUCAUGUUGAGCAAUAGCAUCUUUUGUUUCUUUAAUAGAAUCCAAUAUAUAGUUAUAUUGUUCCUUGCAUGUCUUAAUAGCACUCAUUAACGAUUUGUUAAUGUUGUUUUUGGUAAGUAACUCAUCAAUUAUAGCAAUAGUCUUCUUUGUUUCAUUGAAUGUGGCUUCAACUUCGAUCUCAAGAGCCUUGAAAGGAUCAAUAUCUCCAUCAAGGACGUGUGGUUGAAUGGUUUGAGCACAAAGGGUAGGGUUUGUGGUGUGUUCACAGAAUUUCAAGAGAUCAGAACGAAUAUCAUGAUGCACAAUGUGAAAAGGGCGUGUCCCAUUUGUAAGGAGGUGAAUGGAAGAGAGAGAUAGAAAGAAGAGAAGUGUUUUACUAAUGGAAUCCAUUGUUUCUACCUUAGCUUUUGUUGCCUUUUAGAACUGCAUGCAUGGAAACUAUAUUUAAAUUUCCAUGCAAAUUAAAGUAUAGUUAACAUGGUUAUGUAAAAUUUAGGGUUUGUAGAGAACUUAAUAUCCACAUAUAGUUGUUUGUUAUAGACUUUUCAUCAUUUGAUGCAAACUACAUAUAAUCUGUGGUUUAUAAUUUUAAAAAAAAAGACUAUAUAUAAUUUGUAUUCCAAUUUUUGAAGGGUUGUGGUGUUCCUAAAAAUUGGAAUUUGCAACAUGUAGCUAGGUUCAAUGACAACCAUCCAUAUAGAACCACAAAAAAUAAAUAAAAGGUAUUGGUAUUUUGACUAAGAAUAACUAAGAGAGAAUGAUAGGGUUGCCCCUGAAACCUGAUAAAUUGGAAGGACAAAAAUAUUAGCAGUAGAAUAAUAGAAUGAGAGGAAAGUAAUGAAAAUGUUUUCCUAAAUUAGGUGUCAAAAUAAUAGGACUAUUAUUUAAUUAAUUAAGCAAAUAAAACGAAUGCCGCUUGAUUAUUAUAGCAAAAUAAACCUUAGCACAUUGAUCUGAAAAAUAACAAAGUUUAACAUACACCAAUCUUUAUUUAUAGCAAAAUAAACCUUAGUACAUUGAUCUGAAAAAUAACAUAAAGUAUAACAUACUUAUAGCAUAAAAUAAACCUUAGCACAGUGAUUAAUUAACUAGUUCACAACCUUUUUAGCAUAAAUAUUGUUAUACAAUCUGUAAAAAUAUGGUUCUUAUUUUGUUUAAGCUGUCUAAGACUUCCUUCAUGGUCAUUCUCUCAGCUGGUGAAUCUGAAGAACAAUUCAAAGCCAACUCCAUGAUACUUAAUAAUGCCACUUUCUUUGGAGGAAUAAAUAAUUCCUCUUCCUCCAUCAAGUUAGGAUCAACAAUAUGAAUGAUCUCAUUUAGUAAUAAUGAAUCUUUAAUCCAUGACCUUAAGCUUAGUCCAUCUAUAAACAUUUCAUCUGUUGGCCUCUUUCUUGUAAACACUUCCAUCAGCAUAACACCAUAGCUAUACACAUCUCCUUUAAUAGACACAAUACCUUCUGAUCCAUAUUCUGCAAUCACAAUUUCCAUUGAUAUAUUAUACAUGCACACUAAAAAUAUCCUUGCCUAAAAACUUCAUAUACUACAUUAUAAUACAAGAAAUCAAAAUAAAGGACAGCAAAUAUACGUAAUCAGUACCUGGAGCCAUGUAACCAAUAGUUGCUAAGGUGUUGGUAAGUUCUCUAGAUUGUCCUUCUUCUAAGAGUUUAGCAAUGCCAAAGUCACAAACAUGAGCAACCAUAUCUUCAUCCAACAAAACAUUACUUGGCUUCAAGUCACAGUGCACCACUGGUUUUGAAUUACCAUAAUGAAGAUAAUCCAAAGCAGAUGCAACAUCUAUCAUUAUAUUCAACCUUUGUAAAAAAGGAAUGAAAUAGUUAUAAGAAUACAACCACUUCUCCAAGCUACCAUUUGGCACAAAUUCAAUUACUAGAGCUUUGAAAUCAAAUUCAUUUGAACAGCUAGUAAUGACUUUUACUAGAUUUCGAUGACGAAGAUUGCGCAUUGCUUCACAUUCUAUGUCGAAACUCCUUGAUGCCCCUUGCACAUCCAAAUUGAAUACUUUAACUGCAACAACCAUUCCAUUUGAAAGCACACCUUUGAAUACAGAACCAAUACCCCCUUUACCAAUAAGAUUGCUAUCAUCAAAACUCUUUGUUGCAUCUGAAAGUUCAUAGUAGGAAAUUCGACUCGCAAAUUGGAAUGAUGGUAAGACAACAAUGCUUGAUCCUUUACUAGAACUUCUCCUGUGUAUUAUGAGCAAUGCAAAUCCAAUAAGUGCACCAAAAAGAGUUAAGGGUAAAACCAACUUCAACACAAGCUUUUUGGUUUUCUUGCCAUGAUCUGCUCCUCUAGGACAUUGUGGAACUUGUAGGUCAGGUCUCCCACAGAGUGCACUAUUCAUCAUGAAUGAUUUAGCUGUGAAAUUUGCAAAUUCACCACCAGAAGGAAUUUCUCCUUCUAAUCUAUUAUAAGACAAGUUGAUAAAUCGGAGAUAAACAAGUUUCUCUAGAGACUUGGGGAUAAUGCCUGAUAAAGUAUUGUUGGAAAGGUCCAAAUAUUCCAAACUUAGCAUGCUGCCAAAUGAAUCAGGAAUAGGCCCUUGUAACAUAUUAUUUGCUAAUGAGAGGUUUAACAAUUUCUGCAAGUCACCAAUAUCACUAGGAAUAUUCCCUGAAAGCUUAUUAUUUGAUAUAUCCAAUUUUAUCACAGCUUUCAUGCCACUUAUAUCAGUUGGCAAAGAUCCACUAAAACCAUUAAAAGAUAAACUCACUUCCAAUAUGUCACUAAGGCUCCAAAGGGUAGAAGGUAUAAUAGAGUUUAGGUUAUUGUUAUCCAAAUAAAGUUUUCUCAGUUUUGUAAGACCCCCCAAGCAUUCUGGCACUAGCCCAAAAAUAUUAUUAUGUUCAAGAGAUAUCUCAUCCAAAUUUGUUAGCUGACAAAUCUGACCUGGGAUAGAGCCAUUAAGGUUGUUGCCUGAAAGAUCCAAACGUUGGAGAGACAACAAAGAGCCAAGUGUACCAGGAAUUUGUCCUAUGAGUUGGUUGUUGCUAAAAUUAAUAUCAAACAAGUUCUUUAAAUUGCCAAUCUGUGAAGGAAUUUGACCCUUGAGAUUACAGUUCCAUGCUACAAAAGAUUGCAAUGAGUUUGAGAGGUUUCCUAUAGAACUUGGAAGUGCUCCAUUUAGAGGAUUGUAUGAUAAUACAAGACUUUUUAGUUUCCUACACUUUGUCAAUGAAGUUAGGAAACUAAGUUCUGAAGAAGCUGGAUCACCAGUCAAGUUAUUUCCUAAUAUUCCAAGUAGCUGUAGGUUUAUUAAAUUUCCUAUAGAGUCAGGUAUAACUCCUGAGAAUGAAUUGUUGAUAAGUGUUAGGCUAGAAAGCAUUGUAGCAUUGAAAAGACUAGUAGGAAUUUCUCCACUCAGAGAAUUGUUUGUAAGGUAAAGGAAUUGGAGAUUGGAAAGGGUAUGAUAUGGAUAAAUUGGAAGAUUUCCUGAGAGUUGGUUAUAUGAUAGUGACAGACUUUGUAACCCUGAGAUGUUGAAGAUACUUGAUGGAAUAGAUCCUCUCAAGUUGUUAUUUUGCAAAUGCAAUAUAGCAAGGUUUUUCAAGUACUCACCAAGCUCAUAAGGUAUGGUACCUGCAAUAAAGCAUCAAAAUUUAAAUUGUUGGACAUCAAUGGGUAUGUAAUAAGCUAGUAUAAUUAAGAUUUAAACUACUCAUUUUAUACUCAACUUAUACUUCACAUUAAGUAUAAAAUAUCAUGAUAGUUAUCUAAAAGUAUAAGACUCUCGUAAGCGGAGAAACUUUUUUCAGAAUUUGAACCCAUAACUUCGGGUCACUAGGCAACAACUUAUCGUUGCGCUAAACUUUACUAUGAAAAAACAAAUCUUAAUUAAUUUAUUAAUUUCUUCAUAUUUCCUUUGAAUUUUCAUAACGUUUUGUAUAUAAUUCAUCUAAGUGUUUAAUUGGACAUAAUUGUCCAUAAAAUGAAAGAAUAGUCACAAUAAAAUAAAGCAUUGAUUUGAAUGCUGCAAAGUAGUAAUACAUAAAUGAAAUUAAGAAGGAAUAUGAGAUGAAAACCUGUGAAAAAGUUGAAUCCCAUUAAUAAACUUUUCAAUGAGGUGCAGUUGCUAAUAGACUUUGGAAUGGUUCCUCCAACUUUAUUAUUUGUUAAAUUAAACUGUUGAAGUAAGGGAGAAUUCUGACACAUUGUUUGUGGAAGUUUACCAAUAAAGAAAUUGUCCCUUAGAUUAAUUACUCUCAAAGUGGAGAUGUUGAAAAGAGAUGCUGGAACUUCACCUGCAAAAUAGUUAAAUAUAAAUAUCAAUUCAUUCUAAAUGCUUCAUACUCAUCACUCAAAUCAUUUUUAUUUCUUCUAACCAAGUUUUUUCUAUACACAAAUAAUACAAGUUAAUUAGACCAUUAUUCAGAUUAAAACAUGUGUGUAAAUUGAGAUAAGAUGUAUUAACACUCAAUCAAAUAUAAAGAUUGAUAAAAAAUAAUGAAAUAAUAUACCUGUUAUAUUGUUGUUACUAAGAUCCAACACCUGAAGCAUAGGUAAUUUCCCAAUCUCAUUAGAUAUGUUACCAUUUAAUCUAUUACCAAUAACCUUCAAAUAUUUGAGCUGUUUACAUUGAAGCAAAUUUGAUGGAAAUAGACCAGAAAAUGCAUUGCCAGAUAGGUCAAGCAUUUCAAGCAUUGGAACUCCAUUACACAAGUCCAUUGGAAGAGAACCAGAUAAAUUAUUGUAAGUGAAUUGAAUCUCUUCAAGAGUUGACAUGUUGAACAAUGACAAUGGUAUAGAGCCUUCAAGUUUAUUUAUGCUCAAAUUUAUACUUCUAAGCUCUGACAAAUCUCCAAGUUUUUGAGGAAUGUUUCCUACCAUUUAGAGGAAAAAAGUUAAGGUUGAUUAAAUUAAUCACCUAAAAUUAAUACAAAUGUAAGUCAUAUCUCUACAAUUAAGAAUUAAAGAAAUUAAAGAUAUAUGAAAGAAUAAAGAAAAGUUUAGGUGUUGUCUUAUAUGUACUUAUAAUAUUGCUUUUCACACUAAAAACAUAUGAUAUGUGGUGGUGAAUAUUGAAGAAAAUGUUUGGGGAGAAAAAAAUUAGUUUCCUUAAAUAUUCCAUUAUCUAUGGAAAAAUUUGCAUCUAUGAAUUGUUUCGGUUAAGGAUUAUAGUAUAUAUCUAUGAAAAAAUUUGCUCCCAAAAUAUCUCAGCCUUAUGGUAAAUCUUAUGUAGAAGGAUUAUGCAUCUAUACGUGUUUCUUUCUUUUCUGUGUUCAACCAUAGUACAUAGCACUAAUAUAUGUAUGCAUAUAUUACUAAAAAUCAAUAUGAAAAGUUAUGGGUCUUCUCUAUCAAUGGAAAUAUCUGUAGAGGUGUUAAUCAGCCAAGUCCACUUAAAGCUUAAGAUUGAUCGGUGAAAAAAUUGGAUUUUUUUUUAUGGGAGGUGAAAAAAUUGGAUAGUUAAGCUUCCCUCGUGUAUUUAAUCAAAUCAAAUGUAAAACUUUCAUCCAAAUUUUUGUAAUUUUAAAUGAAAAUCAGACAAAAUGACUAUAACAAAACUGAUUUUAGAUGAUUUUGUUUAAUAUGAUUGUAUGACCAGUAUAAUCGUUGUACCAUAUCAAUAUAUAUGAGGACUGAUUCAUUAGUUUUUCGGUUGAACUGAAUGAUACGGUACGGUUUUCAUAACUAUCACAAUAAUAAUAAUAGAUAAUAGUAACUAAUUUUUUCUUCCUAAAAAUAAAAUACCUGAUAAGGAAUUAUUGGACAAAUCAACCACUUGCAGUGUGGAAAUAUUGAAGAUUGAAGAAGGAAUAUGACUAGAUAGCUCAUUGUGUGCCAAAUCCAAAACAGUCAAGUUUGGAAGCCUUCCAAGCUCUGGUGGAAUGCUACCCUCAAUGGAAUUAAAGCUCAAAUCCAAACUCUUUAGCCCUUCCAAGUUGGAUAGUGAUGCAGGAAUUGAACCUGAAAAACUGUUAUUACAUAGACUCAGAAACUCUAGUUUAGAUAACUCCCCCACCCAUGUUGGAAAUUCUCCACCAAAGUUGUUGUUGCAUAAGUUGAAACUCUCCAACCUAGAUAACAAGGCCAACUCAUCGGGAACUAUUCCAUGAAAGCUAUUGUUGUGAAGGUCAAGUUCAACAAGAGAAGAUAAAUUUCCCAAGUUAGAAGGAAUUGUACCAUUUAAACCCAUGUUUGGUAGAGUUAGGGUUAUGACUCUACUGAAGUUGGCAUCACAAGUGACCCCAACCCAGUUGCAUUUUGAGGAUGAAGUAGACCAAUUAUUGGCUAAUAUGUUUUGAGGGUCCAAAGUUAUAUAAGAUUUAAAGGCUAGUAGUGCAGAUUGGUCUAUAUCUAAGGAAGCCAUUGCCAUGAAAUAGUGAAAUGAGAAUAGUAAAGUGAAAAGAAAGUAAGUUUUGUCCAUAACUAUAUGUUGAGCUAUUCCUUACAAGUUUCUGAACAAACAAAACUAGCAGUAUAUAUAGUGGUGCUGGGGGACAAUAAUUGUUAUACAUUGAAGACUGCUAAAUAUGCGGCAAAUAAUAUUUGUUAUAUGUUGUUUGAAUAUCAAAGUCCUAUGUUUUGACAUAAUCAUAUGGAUGAAAAAGUCUUUGCAAAGGUGCCAGCAUGGUUACGCAUAUUGGUGUAGCUUUCCAUUCAUAUUUGUUCUGACUUGGAGUUGAUUUUAGGUUUUCCCUCAAUCUUAAGUAGUGAAAUGUAAGAUGUGUAGAAAAAAAGUUUAAAUCGCAGUUGCAGUUAUGAUUAUUGUGAUUGUGAUUAUUGCGAUUGUUGCGAUGUGGAUUAUGGUCGGUGCAGUGUGAAUUAUUUUGUGAGUAAAAACAUAUUUUUGACGUCGGUGCGAUCUAAUGCGGUCCGAUGCAGUUACAUUGCAGCCUGAUACGGUCCAAAUGUGGUCUGAUGUAGUUGUGUUGUGGUCUGUUGCGAUCGCAACACUAUAAUUCAGUAUCAUACUGCAAUUAUAGUGUGAUGUGAUUGCGACAAUCACCAUAUUAGCCAAAAUCAAUCAACAUGGUGACUUAGAAUGUUCAGGAAAUAUUGCACCAAGCACCAACCAACUUGGCCAUAUGACCGAGUCAGCAGGCCAAGUUGCUUGUGCCAUGACCGAAGAUCACGCAUCAAGUUCACCAUCUGAUCGAGACACUCAACGCAUCAAACACGCGUCAGAUAUUGAUCCUGACCGAGGCACUUGGCGCACCAGACACGUAUCAAACACAAUUCCUGACUGAGACACUUGGCGCACCAGACACGCAUCAGACACAGUUCUUGACUGAGACACCAACCACGCACCAGAUAUGAAUCCUGACUGAGACAACCCUGACCAAGACACCAAACAGGCACCAGACAAACUCGCACUAGACAUAAAUCCUGACCGAGACAACCAUGCACCAGACCGAGACUGCCAUGCACCAGAUCAACCAACUCUAUCUUUAUCAGCUAGGCCAGCCAGGCCUCAUCUCAAGGCUGCACUAGAAAAUGCAUAUGGGCCACCUCACACCAGAAGUUGCUUGGGCCACAAGCAACCCACAUUUCACUCAUUGACCUAGUCUUUUGUCCUAUUUUACCAGGUGUUGAAUAAUUGUAAAAGUUAGUUAGUUUGCCAGUUAGAGUAUGAGUAGUUUAAAUAGGAUUAGUUAUUUUGUAAUCAUCAUUUAACUCAUUUUCCAUAUUCAAUAAAGUUACAAGUAUUCAUCUUGUUUUUCAUUCUUGCCUUUUUCUUCCAAGAACUGUUAUUCACUUCAUUUUCCCAAAGGCACUUUAGAAUUCUAAUAUGGUAUAGAGAUCUUUUAAAGAGCUCUGCCAUAUUCAGAAUGUCUUCAACAAUUUCUUAUACCAGUCCACCUCCUCCCACAUUCAACCGACAAAUGGACAUCACACAAGAUCCUUACUACGUGCGAUCGUAACACUAUAAUUCAGUAUCACUAUAAUUGUAGUGUGAUGCGAUUGCGGCAAUCACCACAACCGUAAUAGUGCGACUGCAUCACGCGAUAUGAUCCACAUUUUGAAACAGUGGGUCGGGUAUGAAGUUAUUAAUCGAAAUUAUGGUUGUGGUUAUAUUAAUAUGCUUAUUAACUAUUAUGAAAAAAAUAAAUAUAAAUGACACGGUUGCAAUUACAUCAUAAUGUAGAUAUCAUUAAAAUCGUAAUAUUAUGACCUAAAUUGCAUCCAAUUUUAAAACAUUAGUCAUGUAAAUGUUAAAAUAUGGCAAUUUCUUAAUUUUAGUUCAUGGUUAAAUUGUAUUUUUUAAAUUUUCAUUUUAAUAUUUUUAGAGACUAAAAACUAAUUAAAUAGUUAGGAGCUAAACAAAAACUGUCAUAUUUACUUGAACCAAUCAUAGAAAGUGGGAGGAUUCCUAAUAAACUUCUUUUUACUUUGGAAAAAGAACUUUAGUCUCUAAGUAUAUUCACAUCUAUAAAUGAAUUGAUUUGGAAUUAGUUUGUAAAUAUCAACAACAUUGGUGUAUAAAAUAAAAAUUCUAAGAAAAAAAUUGGCAACAAUUCCAAGACUAUUAUGAUAUUAUCCCUGUAUAAAUCACGAGUACGUAAUGUCUGCGCAACAAAACCUAAAAUCAAUCUCAUUCUAUGCUGGAGUAUUAUAUUGCAUUUUGCAAUAAUUUCGAUAACCAUAGAUCAAAAAAUGAAAGUCAACUUUCAUUUCUACAAUAUCCAUAACUAAUAAUUAAGCUCACAGCCCAAAUUAUUCUCAUCUGCUCCAAUCAGGAAUCGAAGACCACGGAAUGUAUGCCUCAGAAAUUUGAAUAUCCAAUUGUGUGAUAAUAAGUCAGAAAAACUUAUAUGAUACAUAUUUAAUACGUUAUAUUUAAAGACAAAUACAUAUAUAUUUUUUUGGUGUUAUGACUUAGGAAUGAAUUAUAAUUAGAAUUAAAUUUUAAAUAUUUUGUCGAGUUUUUGUUAGUUGUAUUUACAUAUAUAUAUAUCCAAACAAAUCUUUCUCUAAUAUAUUAUUCUACAAAAUUCUUAUACAAUAUAAGAAAGUCAUAUAUAUUUUUUGGUACUAGCAAAAAUAUCCUAUACUAUAUAAGUAAAAAACUAAUCUCUUCAGGGUAUGUGAUUGUUUCUUUCAAUAGCAGUCGCUCGCAUGAAUCAAGCUCUUGAUCUUUUUGUCUUUCUAGAGAUCUAGUGGAGGCAGCUUGCACAAUAAAUCAACACUUUAUUGAUUAAGAAAGUCACAUAUAUUAUUUUUUUAAAUAAUAAUUAAUAAAUAAAGAAGUAUUAUGUGACUUUUUCUUAUUGAUUAGGAGAAUUCUUAAAGGGGUAUAAUUAUUUUGGUCCAAAUUCAUUGACUAUGACCUUCAUGGUGGUGGGAAUAAGUCAGUUGGUUGAUAAGAGAAUUCCUAUAUAUUUUUUUUAUAAAACUUGUUCAGCAUAUAGUGAUCGAGGAAAACUUAUUUUGUUUUCUAGUGAAAGCUUUAAUUUGUCAAGGAAAUAUUAAUGUCAAUUUUAAACUUUUUUUAAAAAAGUAUUUAACUACAAAAAUCACAGCUUAUAUUUUUACAAAAAAUAUAUUUUACUAGUACAGUAAUAUAUAUGUCAAUAUAAUACGCAUGAUUUCAUGUAUAAUAAAAUAACAGGAAUAAAUAUGUCAUGGUGUGAGGAGAUAAGCUAUUUCUCACACUCACUCAUUAAUAGACACUUGUAUUAUUUUACUUUUUAUUUUCUUAUUUAUUUUAAAAUAGAUAAAAAGUAUUUAUGUGUCAUUGUCUAACUGGUGUAAGAACAUAAGUUAUCUCAUCAUACCAGGAGAUAUUUUAUCCUCUAAAAUAAAUAAAUAUUAAGAUUUAUGCCUAUUUACAAAAAAUAAAAUACUAAUAUCAUUUGAGUUUCACACAUUAUUUUAUAAUUUAUUAUAACUCUUCAUGCAAUAAAAACAAUAUAUAUAUUUUUCUCACAAUGUCAAACAUCAAUUUUAUUCAUAUUUGACUCCCACAAUAUCUACAUUUUUUUAUAACAUAUAUCUCUCUCCUCACUUUCGAUUGACUAAGAACAAUAAAUAAUUAUUCUUAUUUAAGAACAAAAAAAUAGAAAAUAAAAUUGACACAAUAAAAAAUUGCUCUAAUUAAGUUUAAAUCUAUAUGAAGGUCUUCAUAAACAGUACAGGCUAUGUACCCAUAAAAACAGGUUAUGUUGAGUUUAAUAUAAGAGGAAUGUUAAUUAGUGUGGUAUUUGACUUAAACAACUAUCAUUAAAUAUGGCGGCUGAAUUAACUAUCAAAACUUAUCCUUCAUCCGGUAUACAUUCAUUGUCGAAUAGUUUAUGUCAUUGUAUAUGUUAUUAAUUGUGAUUGGUCAAAAAAAUAGUUAUUUAUUAAUUUUUUAAUUUAAAUAUAUUUUUUCAACUAAUCACAAACUUAUAGUAUAUACAAUAAUACAAUUUAUGGAACAACCGAUGUGUUUCCCAUUCAUCACUCCCAUAUCACAUCUGUCAUUUUCAUUAAAAUACAGUAGUACUACAUUAGACACCCAACAUACCAAAACUUCUAUCUUUGCUGACAAAUGUAAAAGUAUUUUAGAUUAAUAUUAUAUUACUCACCAUUCAUAUUUUUAUCUUCAUCAACUCUUAAAUAUAAAUAUAUAGAUAUAUAAACAAUAUAAAUGAAUAUUGAUGAAUACAUAAAAACAAUUAAUGUCUGCUCCAACAAAACCGGUAAUGAUUCAUAUUAAGAGAAUAGUUAUUUUGGGUAAACUUAUGAUUGACAUCAUAUGAUUAUAUCACAAAUUGCAAAAUCAUUGAUCAUGAAUGAAAGUCAACCAUCACCAAAUGUAGCUUUGGACCUUCCUAGACACAACACAAUCUCAACAAGUUACAACGUGGAACUAUGCAUUGACCAUGUGCUUGGCUUAAUAUGAUCCUAAGAGAGUUUUUAUUUUAAUCAGUGGUAGAUCUUCAUAUAAGCAUGUCACAUUUAUGUAAAAGAGAUUUAUCGUUGCAAAAAGACAGGUUAAUUUUUCUACAAGAAGGCAUAAUUUCAAUUUUGAAAAUGAUUUUCAAAGAAAGACUUCAACAUCGAUUGUUAAUAUUAAACUAGGUUGAAAGUUAGGUGCACCAAAACUUCAACCUAGGUUCUAACAAAAUUGUGGUCUUAAAUCUUCACUUUAUAUAAGAAUUUACUUUCUAUUCUCUAACUCUAUGAAACUCUAAUGCCAACGGUGUUUCAAUCACUCUUAGAUACUUUCAAAUUUUAUAGUUUUUAAAAUAUAGUAAGAAAAUAAAAUGAAAUAAUAAUAUUCUAAGUAACAUUGGCCCUAUAGAUUAUGAAAAAUGAAAAAUCUUACCAUAAAAAUGAAAUUGAUAAAUCAUAAUAAUCUUAUCAUACUCACAUACAUAUGGGGACACAUUUGGUCCAUAUAAAAAUGAAAUCAUAAUUUCAUCCAAACAAAUCUUACAAACGAGUUACUAGUUUUCUUACAAGAAAUAAUUUUAUUUUUAUUGUCUACUUUUAUGUGGUAUAUUACAGGUAAUUAUCUUCUCCUUUUACGAAGGAUAAUAUCCAGCACCCUGAAUAAUACGUGGGUUAGAGCAACAGUUAUUCUUAAUGGAUUAAGAACAUUUUUAUUUUGUUAUUCAAUGUAUCAUUCUUAUUUUCUGACUUUUAUUUUUAAAUAAGAACAAUUCUUGUUUGUUCUUAGGCAAGGGAAAGUGAGAAGAGAGGUAGAUGUUGUGCGUAAAAGAUAGAUAUUGUGUGACUCAAACAAGAAUAAGAAUGAUGUUUAUCAUUGUUAAUAAAUGUUAUUCUUAUUUCAUGGAGAGUUAUAAUAAAUUAUAAAAUAAUGCGUUAAACCCAGAUAAAAAUAAAAUGUUGUUUGCUAUUAUUAUGGUUGCUCUUAUUUCUCUAACGAGGUGGAUUAGCUCUUAUAAUGGGUAUUAUCAUAUACAAUACUUCCCUUCUAAUGAAGUUUUACAUAUAAGAUAUUCCAUUUCACAAUUCGUAUUUGAGAGAUAAAUAUGCAUCAUUUUAAUCGAACUUCAAUAGUAAGGUGAUGAAAAUUAAAAUGGUUAAAUUACUAUACAUCCAAGUCUUUGAACAAUGUUAGAAUUUUAAAAUAUGUCUCUAGAUUUUAAAAUAUAUAUAUUUGGCCCCCUAAUCUUGAAAUCCAUUUAUAAUUAGGUUCCUAAGCUUUAAAAUCAUUUGUAUUUGAAUCCUUAGAUUUUUAGUUCAUUUGUAACUUAAAAUUAAAUUUUAUAUUACUGUUCUUACAUGGUGUUUUAUUGUUCUGUAAAAGAAAAGUCAUAAUGUUUAAGAUGAUAAACUUAGACAGUAAUUCUUAUAAUUAUAUGAUAUUUAAGAAUAACAAACUAUGCAAUCAAUUAUAUUACACAUUCCACAUCAUUAUAAUUAAUAGAUAAUUGCAUAAACCUAAUUAUCAUAAACUAAAAAAAUUAUAAAUGUUGAAGGUUAAAAUCUCAAUUGCAUAUGAUUUUAUGCUGAAGAACACAAUUACAAUUUCUAAAGUUUAUGAACCCAUUAUAAAUUUAAAAUCUUUUUAAGAUCGAUAAAUAAUAAUAUUAAUAUGAUGAGUUAGUCAUCUAUUUGGUAAAAUUAUGUUUUACUUUUAGUUUAUAUAUAAGAUUAUGAUUUGUGAAAUUAUAAUAUCUUCAUAUAUACUUUAUCUAUGUUUGAGUACCUUAACUGAAUAUAAACUAAUCAGUUCAUUUGGGCAAGAUAGAAAUAUUAUUUUUUACAUAUUAUGUUAAAAUAGUUGAGCAUUGAUUAGUUGGUUAAUUAGUUUAGUUAGGAUAAUUAGUUUUUCUAUCCUUUAUAUAAAGGAUUCAAUGUAAUUUUGUUAUCAAUCUAUUCAAUAUUCAAUGAAUAAAACUCUUUUCUUUCAUCUUUCUUGAUUCAUCAAAAAAUCUUUUUCAUGUCUCUUACUAUUUUAACAUACUAAAUUACAAUAAAUAUAUAAAGCUAUUUGUUUAUGUUAUAAUUUUUUUGUUUGUUUUUAUACUAUUUUUAAAAUUUACAUUUUUUUAAUAUUUAUAUUAUAAUAUUUUUAAUUUUUACUACCCAUGACAAAAGCUAGUAAAUUGUACUCACACACCCCUUAACUUUUGUGUGAAAUAAUGUAAAUCACAUCUCCUUUUUGUACUUACACAAAUCACCCUUAAUUUAUAUAAAUACAUUACACUCACAACUCAUGCAAAGAGUAUAAUCUUUUAAACAAGAAUAAUCAUUGAGUGUAAUUAAGUUAAGCUUCAAAGGGUGUUGGUGUAAUUUACUUUUAAUUAAUUAUAUAUACAUUAGCUAGGAUAAAUUGUUAAUUUGUAAAUUUGCAUAUAUAAUUUGAUUAUGAAAUCACUUAUCUAUUUUGUUUUGUGUAUUUAAGUAUCAUUUCUUUAAAAUUAUUGAUACGUUUUGUAAUGAACCAAAAAUAAUGAAGAAACAUUAAUUAUUAUACUAUUUGGAGUUGGAUCCAUAAUAUACCAUUUUUGUGUGGAAAUCUUGUGCGGGAUUAAACAAAGUUAUAUCAUUUCUUCUCUACGACCAUUGUCAUUAGCAUGUAUGUUUGUUUGUAAAAUAGUAAUGGUUUAUAAAUACUUAGAAAUUACUCAAACUAAAUCGAUCUUAAUAUAUUUUAUUUUAUCUCCAACACUUAAAUUAAUUAUUGCUAACCAUAUAAAGAUAGAACCAAGAAAUGACUUAAACCAAAUCACCUUUUUCAUUUUAUUAUCAUUAUUUUAAGACUUAUUGGAGAUGACUAAAGAUAGAGUAAACAACUCCAAAUCAAAUAAAAAGUUCAUAUUAUAUAUAAAAAUUGAUAAUAUUAUAAAUAUGUCAAAAUUGAGUAUUUUUGUAUUAAAAUAUUAUUAUGUAAAAAACAAUAAAAUAUUUUUAUUUAAAAUAUUAUAAUGAUUCCUCUUGAAGUUUAAUUUAAAAUUACAUUUAUCAAUCAUUUUCUUAGUUAAAAGAUUACAUCAUUCGCUAUUAUGAACGAGUAUUGUAAUAUAUGUAUAUAAAUUAGAAGUAGUUUGUAUAGAUGCAAUAAAAAAAUAAUUUAUAUAAUUUCACUAAAACUUGUGAUAUAAUGAAACUUAUGUAAGUAUAAAGAAAUAUUAUAUUUUACAUGAUUUUUUUUCCUAGUGUAUAUUUAACAACUUAAUAAUGAGUAGACACUAACUUCAUACCUCAAUUGAUACUAUAAACAUUUUAGGUGCAACCAUAAGUCCACGAUUACAAGUACAACAAUACAAAUGACCAUACAAGGGACAAGGUCGUUUUUUUUUUUUUUGGUUUCUCCUAGUACUGGGGCAAAGUUGUUGGUUUUUUUUGGUUUCUCCUAGCACUGGGGCAAGAUCGUUGGUUUUUUUUUUUGGUUUCUCCUAGCACUCGAGAAAGGUGCGUUGGUUUUUUUUUUGGUUUCUCCUCGCACUGGGGCAAGGUUGUUGGUUUUUUUUUAGUUUCUCGUCCGAGUCGAGAACAUCUAUAUGUAUAUAUGGCUAAUUUCCUAGCGAAUAUUUUUUCUAUCUAUAAGACUCGAAUCCAAAAUUUUACUUAAGGAGAAUCAAACAUGUACCACUUGAACUAACUCUAGUUGAACCAACACCACUUAAUGCCAAUGUAUGUAGUUGAACGAUCAAAAGGAAUAACAUGAUUGCUGAUUUGGAAAUAAGUCAUUUUUUCUUAUAGAAAUGCAUAAAUGAAUAAUGAAUAAUUUCAAAUGAGCAUAAUCUAUACUAUAUAUAAAGCCAAAAUUUGAAAUAACUACUAUCAUGAUUCUAUUUUCAUAUUUUGCCCUUAAUAUUUUUUAUUUCUAAAAUAAAACAAUAUAAUCCUAGAUAAUUAUAAUUAAUACAUCUUACUUUAAGUUUAAUAUUAUAAUUAAUACAAAAAUUAUAACAUGAAGUACAUCCAAUAAAAAAAAUCUAAUUCUCAAAAUAAAAAAUACAAAUUUAACACUUAAUAUCAUAAAAUAAUAAUUUGAGUUGACAGAAUAUUCAUAAUUCCUAAAAAUUAUAUCAUAUCCACAAUGAUAAAAAUAAAAAGGUGAACAAAAUUAAGACAUUAUGAAAAUUUCAAUCAUAAUUUCCAAAUAAAAAUACUAAGUUGUGUAAAUAUUAUUUUUAAUAUAAAACAAAUCAUAUAAAUGGUAUAAACAUAUAAAAAUGAACAAUAAGAAAUUAAUCUAAUGAAUUUUGAUCAUAUAUAAUUACACAUGCUAAGAACAAUCAAAAUAUUAUUUUUUGAGAAGUUAACUAAGAAGACAAUAUAAUGAUAUAAGAACUCAUUAUAUCUCAUAAUUAUUAAAAGAUAAAAAAGGUUUGAAUAAUAUUAUUUUUUUGGGAGAUGCCAAAAAAAUUAGUUUCUUAUGAUACAUAUACAAAAAAUUAGUUUCUUAUGAUACAUAUACAAAUUUUUUUUGAAUAGUUAUGAGUUAAAUUUGGCACCCUCUCUUUUCAAUCUUCCACUCAAUAGUCACCACAGACAACCUUAACUGCAAAGUGCAAAGGAAUUUCCCCUUCUUCUGAGACAGGUUCAUUCAAAACUGUUCUUUUUUUUUUCUGUUGUUAUUUUUGUAAUUGAUGCAUGUUCUGAGGAUAGUGUUUGUUGGAUUUCCACCUGUUUAUGAUUAUUAUAACAUAUUUUGAACUCCACCCUUUUUUCUUUUGCUGCUAAAUAUUAAACCUUUAUCUUCCAAUAUGUAUAUUUACACUAAUGGAAGUUUUGCUGCCAAAGCUUCCAUCUUUAAACCCAAGUUGUUGCUGCUCAAUCACUGGUUGGAACUCAUCAUAUCUCAAAUUUGGAUUCAGUCGUUUAUCUUCUCUCUCUGUUUCUGCAUCAAAGGUUACUGAAGAAUUGCUUGAACCAACUCUUGGCUCAUUGGGUCACUCCACCAGACCCCAUUUCCCUAUACUUCAUCAGGUUCUUAUUUUCUUAUCCUUGAUCAUUUUUACUUUCCUAAAAUGCAGCCUUUGUAUGUUUAUAAAUGUUCAGAUAACUCAGGAUUAACUUUUAAGUUGUUGAUUGUGUUGCAGCCUUGAAUGUUUAUAAAUCUCAGAUACCUUGGUGUUAAUUUUUAAUUGAUGAUUAUGUUAUGGCCUUUGAUGUUUAUAAAUCCCAGAUAACCAGGGGUUAAUUUUUUAAUCCAUGUAUUAUUUUUUUACAAAUUUAAUGCUGCUUGUUGUGUGGGCUGUGGACAUAACAUAUGCAUGCUUAAAUCUUAUGAAAAGAAUAAAGUAACAAGUAGUGUUUUAAAUUGUGGUUGAAGUUAUUGCAGUCGCGGUGUGAAUUAUUUUGUAAUUAGAAAAUUAUUUUUGAAUUUCAUGUAGCCUGAUGCGGUUGCAUUGCAGUCCGAUGCGGCCACAUCAAUAUGAUUCGGUGUCACACUACAAUUACACCGUGAUGCGGUUGUGAUGGUCACCACAACCACAAUAUUACGGUUGCAUCACGUGAUGUUGUAUACAAUUUAAAUCACUGAUGACAAGGAUUGAAUCUUGAAAACUUAAUCAUAAAGGCUUCAGUUUUCAAAUUCAUAUCUCCAUGUUUUCUCAAUGUCACAGUGGGAGUUCUUGCUUGCAAAUGUUACAAAUAAGGGGUAACUAUUGGUUUAUACUAGAGUAAUACGUUCGUUUAUUGGAUGAUGUCUAUAACUUAUUAACUUUUCCCUCAAACAAAACCAAUGAUGAAAUACAUAAUCUCAUAUCUUACUAUCCUUGACCCACUAGAUAUUUCUAUGGUGCAAAUAAAAUAUAGAAUCCACAAAUUCUAUCUGACUAAGCAUCUAAAUACAUGUCUAGGGAUAUGCUUCUUUGAGAACCUUCCAGCAUGUAACUUCAUUAUGUUAUCUGGGUGAUUUUCCAAUGCCUACACUGCUUGUGUCAUGAACUCAGUGCACAAAUAGGGCAGUUUAUAAACAAGCCUUAGUUUCACUGCCUCAUCCUUAACUAAUCUAUCUAUAAUGCUGUUGAUGAGACCGAGAAUUGCCUUUUAUUAAUAAUGAUAUUUUUUUCAUUUCCCCAUUUUCUUUAUGCAUAUACAAUGCACAAAAUUGUACUACGAAGUUUUUCUUAAUGGAAAUAAGGAAUUUGGUGUGUUGCUCUAGUACAUAUUAUAAAACUAUGAUACUUGUACUCAAUUCACAGGAAGUAAAUGGCUCAAAACUUGUUUAUUUAGACAAUGCAGCAACUUCUCAGAAGCCAACUGUUGUCUUGAAGGCUCUGCAAAACUAUUAUGAAGCUUACAAUUCUAAUGUGCAUCGGGGCAUACAUUUCUUGAGGUACAUACUGUGUAAUGAUUGUUACAUAUAUACAUUGCAUACUGGAAAACACUAAUUCUAGGCAUACAUUUUGCUUACGUACUAAGUCGUCAAAUGAUAUAAUAUCGAUUUUUUCUAUUGGUUUAGGAGCAGCAGUUGAUUACUUGUCCGAGAUUGGUAUGCAAACCAUACAUGAUUAUGAGGUGAAUUGAGCUUUACUCUUAACACGUUUUAAUAUAAGAGAAUAAAAGUGAUAACUUUGAACCUUGCACAAGCUAAGACAUGUUCGACUUCACUGCUGGUGUACCUUUUAAUCUAGCACUAAAAAUAUAUAUACAAAAAUGUUCUUUAUCAGAACACAAAGAUACGGACUAUGAGGGAUCAGGUGUUGAUGAAGGGGUAGGAAGUGGUCGCCAAGGUGAUAGGAGGAAGCAAGAGAGUUGGGCCCGCCGGUGGAGGUACCUGAAAAGGUUCUCCGACGAUCAAGUCAGUAUAUGAGCUAGAGAGAAUGAGUGAUAGGAAUAAUAUUAGAGAAUCAAGGAGUUGAGAUUAAGAUAUUUCCUGUUGGUGGAUAUCCCUAUUUAUAGGAGUGAGAGUUGACAUUGGGUUCUUGGCUGGUGGUGCGACGCGUGGCCGACCAAAGGUGUUGUCGGGAGUUGCUUUUCCCGUGUGAGGCGGUCUGUUAGGAUCGUACACUGUGUCAUUCUUGUCUUCUAGCCUGUGGUUGGUUUGGUACCCGUUCUGCAACCCGUCUGUCGUGCUGGCAGGUAGGUUGGUGGAGUACGGAAAGCAUGUUGUCCCUUGGGUCAACUUUGGUGGUCCCAACAAGUGGGCCCACCUCGGCGUCCAAACAUAUGACCUUUGGUUCGCCGGGUAGGAACAGUUGCCCCCAGUCUGCCAGGAUGCUGGAUGAGUAUGCUGGGAGACUUGAUACGAGCCUCCUUUGAUUUGGGUGAGGGGUCCGUUUUGGCGUCUUAACUGGUGGCUCCGUUGGGCGAGCUUAUUGGAUGAUGGGGUCUUUUCUAUGGCGGAUGGUCCUCAUGAGGUUUGGCGCCCUGGUGUUGAAAGGCUGUCAAUUGAGUUGACCAAGGUGUUGGGCGAGGCUUGUUAUAGUUGAUUACUCUGUUGGGCGUAUGGAUUUAUUUUUGAAUAUCUUGGCGUCUUUCUAGGACUUAUGACGUGGUGCAUUGAAUCGGGGAAAUACGUCAUAAGUCCCAGAAAGACGCCAAGAUAUUCAAGAUAAAUCCAUACGCCCAACAGAGUAAUCAGCCAUAACAAGCCUCGCCCAACACCUUGGUCAACUCAAUUGACAGCCUUUCAACACCAGGGCGCCAAACCUCAUGAGGACCAUCCGCCAUAGAAAAGACCCCAUCAACCAAUAAGAUCGCCCAACGGAGCCACCAGUUAAGACGCCAAAACGGACCCCUCACCCAAAUCAAAGGAGGCUCGUAUCAAGUCUCCCAGCAUACUCAUCCAGCAUCCUGGCAGACUGGGGGCAACUGUUCCUACCCGGCGAACCAAAGGUCAUAUGUUUGGUCGCCGAGGUGGGCCCACUUGUUGGGACCACCAAAGUUGACCCAAGGGAUAGCAUGCUCUCCGUACUCCACCAACCUACCUGCCAGCGCGACAGACGGGUUGUAGAACGGGAGCCUAACCAACCACAGGCUAGGAGACAAGAAGGGCACAAUGUACAAUCCUAUAGACCGCCUGACACGGGAAAAGCAACUCCCGACAACACCUUUGGUCGGCCACGCGUCGCACCACCAGCCAAGAACCCAAUGUCAACUCUCACUCCUAUAAAUAGGGAUAUCCACCAACAGGAAAUAUCUUAAUCUCAACUCCUUGAUACUCUAAUAUUAUUCCUAUCACUCAUUCUCUCUAGCUCAUAUACUGACUUGAUCGUCGGAGAACCUUUUCAGGUACCUCCACCGGCGGGCCCAACUCUCCUGCUUCCUCCUAUCACCUUGGCGACCACUUCCUACCCCUUCAUCAACACCUGAUCCCUCAUAGUCCGUAUCUUUGUGUUCUGAUAAAGAACAGAUUGUUUCCAAGAUUUGAACUCAUGACCUCUAAGUCACAAGGCAAACAACCUUAUUGUGGCUCACCCUCUAUAUGAUGACUUUAAAAUUUAAAAAAAAAACUUCGGUCCAAAAUGUAUUAUCUUUUAUUGAAAAUCACUGAAAUGAGCUUAUGUGAGUUGCAAUAAUGGCUUUUGAUACGAAAAGUGGUGUCAUAUUCUUGUGUUUAUCCAAUACACAGAAGCCCUGUUCUGCUCAAAUUCCAUACCUUGAUGUAGCCUUUUUUUUCUUCGUGUCAAUCAUCAUUGAAUAUUAAGGAUCACAUUUUGCUUAACCAUCAAGUUGUUCUAAAACCCUGCACUUAAUUUACUUAUUUACACAUUGAUGCAUUUCAUUCACUCAAUACAUUGAUCUUGAGUCAAUCCUGUCUUAAUUUAUUCUUGCAUUCAAGUAUACUUAUAUCUGAUAGCAAACUUUCAAAAGUGAGAUUUUACUUAUAAUCACUAGGGAUCAAAGUGAAGUAGGUAAGGAAUUACCAAUUUGUCCACAUAUUACGAAAUACACAUACUAUAACAUUCUAACUCAAUAAGCACUGAAGUCAAACAUAAAUAUUUUAUGAAUUUAAUCGCCACCCAAAAAAGAAAUUAUUUAUAUGAAAUUCAAUUUUCAUAGGUGGAGCUGGGUAGAUACCUAUAUGAAAGGCUCCUUUCAGUCCCAAAUAUUCGCACCUAUGGUCCGGCGCCUUCAGAAGAAGUGCAACGAGCUGCUCUUUGUUCUUUCAAUGUUGAGAAUGUGCAUCCUACUGAUCUUGCAACAUUUCUGGACCAACAGGUAAGAUGAUAAAAGAUUAUCCCUGGAUACGUGCAUUUUCUUAAUCUUAAGCAGUUUAUUUAUGCCUUAAUUUCAUGGAAGAAAUUCGGAUAGCUAUUAAAUAUGUUUCGAAUAUAUCCUUUCCCGAAUUAUCAUUUUUCAGCAUGGAGUGGCUAUCAGAUCAGGCCACCAUUGUGCUCAACCCCUCCGUCGCUACUUAGGUGUUAGCGCGAGUGCGAGUGCGCGUGCUAGUCUCUAUUUCUAUAACACGAAGGAGGGCGUCGACAAUUUUAUCCUGGCCCUAAAUGACACUGUCAGCUUCUUCAAUUCAUUCAAGUAGUCAGAAUGUAUUUCUAUGUAAAUUAAAUUAUUUAUGCACCAAUGAGGAUUAGCUUUAUUGGUAGGAUGAGCUGCAUCAACCAAAUUUUUUGGAAUUCAAUUUGCUGAUCUCAUUGGUAGGCAUCCACUCAUUGUGGCAAACAUUGUCUUUUUGGUACAACAGACUAUGCUAAAAAAUUAUGGAGACUCAUAAACUCUUAUGCAGCUAACUUUCAUUUUUGUAAUUGUAAUAAUUCAAUGGAAAAAAUGUUCGUCUAAUAUAGAGAAAGUAUAAUAGUUGUGUGCUCUCCAAUGUAGAUAUCUAUUAUCUUAAAUUCUUAAUCAUUAACUUAUAUCAUAAAUUCCUAGCAGUCAAUUUUGUGAUUCUGUUCUUGAAGAAGAUAGAUACCAUACCAUAAUGCUGAAGGAAAACUGAGUAGAACCGAUCAUAGCUCAAGACAAACAGAAUAUUCAGCAUUGCUGGCACAGAACAAGUAAUGCAAUGCAAGUAAAAGAAGUAUGAAUGCACCAAUGUAUGUUAUUUAACAAAAUGCACCUAAGUCUUUCCCUAAUAACUACAUGAGUUCCAUCAGUGUUAAAAAUAAUGGUGUUCUAAUAUUAUUCCUUAAUUGUCAAUAUGCACAUUGCUGUUUGAAAUUAUGCUCAACAAUGUGGCUCAUAUCAAGAAAUUGGACAUAGACCUGGUUUCUGGCUGUGGUACCCUGAGAAUUGUGGGUGUACAGCAUGUACUUGUAAAUAGGGUGGGCACAUGAGGAAUAUCACUUGUUGAUUUGGCAUAAUAAAAUUGGACCAGUAAUAGCUUAGGAACACCAACACAACUUAAUCUAGUGGUAUAAGACUUCACUGGAUCUUCAGAUAUCGUACUAUACCAAAGAUUCGAUUACUGGAAGUGACAUUUAUUGGAAGGAGCAACUAUGCAGUAUGCACCCAAAAAGGAUUAAUUCCUUACUCUUAGGAUGAGGAGAUAUCCUUGGUUAGUUGAUUUGUUGCGUUUAUUCAAGUGUGAAGUCCCACAUUGGAUAUACGAGGAGGAGUGAAAGACUUUAUAAGUAGGAAAGGCCCAUGAAACUAAUGCCUCAAGACGUGGUGUCUCACUUGUGACUCUUCGCAGUCUGGUCCAACAUGAUUAUACCAAAAAAGUAAAAGCUGCUGAACUCUUUUAAUUCAAGAAUAAGAAGCUAAAGGCUUUACAAUGUUGAAUUGUGAAAUUCACAUGCCACCUCAGUUCACUUCUGAUGACCAGCAAUAUAAUCAAAGGAAUGCAAGAUAGUGUUAAGUACUGCAAUUUGGGAAUCAACUAAGUAUUCUCAUGCUCAAUAAUGAUAUGCAGUCGACAAAUCCGAAAUAGGGCUUCGAGGUUUGUAGUAGGGUUAACAAAUCAAACGUGUCAUAGAGAUUCGAUAAAGUGUCAUAUUGGUCAGUCAAUUACCUAACACAACUAACAUCCCUUCUCUUUCACCCAGACUUGAGACUCAGCAUGUGUACUGAUAUUUGCAACAAAUAACAAUGUACAACAUAAGUAGAGUUGGGAUCACAAAUUAAAUGACACCUAAAAGCAGUUAAGCCACAUUGAGAUUAAUCAACAUGAUAUCAAUCAAUCUCUAAUCUCUGCCUAAUCUAUUUAGAAUUAAUAAAUUAUAAUUCCAGUAAGAAGAAUCUAUAUUAAUGAGAACAAACUAAAUAGGAAAGUGCUUUGAAAAACAUCAGUAGAGAAAUCAUAGCAGUACUUCAAAUGAAACCAAAAAGGAUCUUAUGUAAUGUCUAAAUCUAACAUGGCUAACAGAAGUACUAUAAUAAUCAAUUGGUUUUCUUCCCCCUAACAUUUCUUUUCUUUUAUAUCCUUCUUUUCCUCUAACUGUACCUACUCUUUCUUUUCACCUUCAAUUUUCUUCACUUUCUUUUUAGCUGUUGCCUGUGAAUACAGGAAAGUCCCAAGAAUCGCGACAGCGGAACCAACACCAUUUAGAAGCCUAACCGGAUUUCUGAACACUAUAACCGACGACACAAUCACCACCACUCUCUUCAUUGUGUUUCCCACUGAGAAAGUUAGAGGACUAAUUUCAUCCAAGGCUUGGUAAGAUGAUUGGUUAUAAAGAUGGUAGAACACUCCAGAUAGCAUCACCCAUAUAUAAAAUGUGGUUGGUUUCCCUAUAGCUUCAAUUGCCUUAUAAUACCCUGGAAUCCACUGAGACCCUUCAACAAAAAUAGCCACUGGAAAAAGAUAGAACAAUGAAAUAAUAGUAAUCCAUCCAUACAUGUUCAAUCCAUCAACUUCCUUGAAAUUCUGCAAACUUCUUUUAGAAUAUAUAUUCCUCAACACAAAACCAACAUUGCUAAUAAGGGCACACCAUAAUCCUUGCGCAUUGAAAGAAACUUCAGUAACAGCAGCUAGAGAACAACCUAGGACAAUGGGUAGAAUUGAGAGCCAAACCUGAAUGGGGUAUCUAUCACCAAGAACAGAAGAGAAUAUGACAGAGAAAACUGGCUCAGCAGAUUUGAUUACAUGAGUGAAUGAAACAGCAACCUUAGAGAAUGAAACACAUGCUGAGAUGUGGCCUAUUGUGUGGAACAAAGCAGGUCCAAGAAGAGCAAUGAUGAAAGGUUUUGAGAUUUUUGGACAAGGUUGGAGCUUUAAGGACCAAAGCACAAGCAUCCAAAUGGACCCCACAAAAAGUUGAAAAGAUGCAAGGAGCCAUGGGAAUGGGAAUAUGUUUAAGGCUUUCUUAUUGUAAAUGUUGAAGACAAUGUUUUGGAAGUACCAUAGCCCAAAAACUAAAGCAAGUUUGAGUUUUUUAGAUUUGGGGUCAUUGGAAUUAACUACAAUUUCUCUUUCUCCCUCAUGAUUUGCAUCACCAGAUGCUGCUUUCACAAUUUGGUGAUUGGGUUUUGGUGAAACCUCAAAUGGGUAUGAGAGGAAUCUUCUAAAAGAACUUAACUUUGUGAUUGAAUCUGGGAUCUGAGAUGUGGGCAUAAAAGAAAGUUUAGAACUUUUGAAACCUGAUUCAUGAAGCUGAAAAGUGGUUGUGUGACAUUGUAGGUGGUUCUUGUGGCUCUGAAUUCUGCUGAGAAUAUUUGAUUUGAGGUUUGGAGAUGCAUUUAUGAGACAUUGAUUAUUGGGUUUGAUGAAAGUGACAGAGGAUAAUGAUGAUGGAACAACAUUCAAUGAUAACAUUUUUGUGGAUGUUCCUGCUAUGAAGUAAGACAGUAACAAAAGGGAAAGGGAAAGAGAAACAGAAGAAAAACACAGAUUCUGAAAAUAAAUAAAAAAACAGAAUCUUUGUAGCUUAGUACAAGCCCUAAAAGCGAUUAACUCAUUAAAGUGCUUUUGAGAGCAUGAGACAACCCCCACCAAUCCAUACAAUGAAACCGGAAAGCGAUUACAUGUUUUUAAUGGUAUUCUGGACCAAUCAUAUAUUACACAUAAAAAAUGAAAAAAAUAAAAAUAAAAUGUAACAAAAAGUAAUAUUUUAAUUGGUUCGGAAAAAAUGAAUAAGACAUCAUUCAAGAUAUGUGAUCUUCAUUCAAAUGAAACCUAAUCAAAAGUACAAAUUUGUACCUAGUACUGUGUUUAGAAUUGUUUAAAAUUUUGAUUCAAUCUAAAUUAAGCUUUUGUUUAAAUGGUAAAAUUAAUUUUCAUGUAUAUAAGUUUUAUUUUUUGUAGAAUCAAAAUAAAUUAUUUUAUAACAAUUUUUUUUUUAUAAUUUAAGUUAAGUAUCACUCCAGUUUAUAUAGUCUAUACUCUCAAGGUAUAUGACUAAUGAUCUUAUGAUGAAUUUAGAGUACUUCAAUGUUGAAUUUUAAUAGCUUAAUAACCAAGUAAUAUAGAUAACUUAAAUCACAAAUUAAAUGAUUGAAUAAUCUAAAUUAGUGAUUAUUUCAACCAUUGAAAUAAUCUAAAUUAAUCUAAAUUAGUGAUUGAAAUAAUAUAAAUUCAACUAUUGAAAUAAUAAUCUAGUUUAACUUAAGUAUCACUCCACUUUAUAAUCUAAUUUCAAUUAAAUUUCUCACAAUCUAUGUCAAUGGUGACCAUCUUCUGAAAUUAAAUGUUAAAUUGCUUUAAAAUUCAUAUUUUAUUAAAAAAUGAACUUAUGGAAUCAAUUUCUAAUUCCUAUAUGUUAUCGGAUAUUUGCUUUAUAAAAUAAAAUUAUCUAAUCCAAUAAAAUGAUUAUAAAGAAAAAAAAUAUAGGAUCACGUAGAUUUCUUAAAUAAUUUGUAGUUAUCUAAACGACUUCCUCUUGAUGGUAAAGAAAGAUAAAACGACAUCAUAGAGUAAUUGACACAUCGUCCAAAACUGAAUGACGAAAUGAUUAACAUGCAAGGGUAAACAAAAUUAAUGGGUCAAAUGAGAAAUAAAAUGGAAAAGCAUGAAUGAAUUGAGAAAAAGAAAUAAAGUUGAAGAACCAAAAUAAUAGCUUUUAACCUAUAUUUCUAAGAAACACACAUAAUUAAUAUUAAUAUUAAACAUUAGUAUUAGAAUAAGGAUUUAAUAUGUAUACACUGACAGUGUAAAUGUUUUUAUAUUGUCAGUCAAUCAUCUAAUAUUGACUCUCAAACAAAAGUAAUACAAAUCAAUGAUGGAUGAUAUGCUGAUAAUGUAAAAAAAUUUACAUUGUCAAUCACAAAUUUCAAACUCUUAGAAUAAAUUACAUUAACAUUAUAUAAAAUUACGCAAACUAUCUUUCUUUUUCUUUUUGUAUAUGUAUAAAUCAGUCCUAUAUUACAAUGACUACUCUUGGAUUAAAAAAGAAUAUGAUCUUUUAAACAAAUAAUGAGUGAUGUGUAAUUAAGUUAAACUCAUCAUCGAUAAAUUUGUAUAUAGAAUUUGAUUAUAAAAUCAAUCUUCUCUUUUAUGUAUUUAAAUAACAUUUCCUUAGAAUUAUUGAUCCAUUUUAUAACAAAUAAAAAAUAAUAAAGAUAAAUUGACUCUUAUAUAUUUAAAUUAGACACCAUAAUACGUUAAUAUUAAGAAACCCUGUAUGAGAUUAAAAAAAGUUGUAUCAUUUUUCUAUGACUAUUAUCAUUAACAUAUAUAUUUGUAAAAUAAAUUAAGGUACCUACAAAUUAAAGUUAAUUUUAAUAUAUCAACAAUAUAUUGGUCUAUGCUAUAAAAUCCACUAGAUCCCAAAGGUUAAAAGUUCAUUCAUGGGAGUGAUACUUAUUAAAAGGAGUAGUCAUGAACCUCAAAAAAUGUGAAGGGAUAUCUUAAUAGUACCAAAAAAAAUUAAAAUACUUUAUUUUUUCCUCAACACUAAUUAUUGCUAACAAUGCAAGACUAAAACUGAAAAUUUAUUUAAAUGAAACAAUAGCGUAUGAAUUGUUAUUUUAUUAGAGUGUAAUAUUUGUACACUUUUAGUGUAAAUAUUUAUACAUAAUUGAUCAAUUAUACACAAUUCAUUUGUAUUAUUUUUGGAAGAGUCAACGAUAAUUAAAUAUAAAUGGUGAAUAAUAUGGUGAUAAUGAAUAAAACUGAUAUAUUGACAAUGCAUAUAAUUUUUCAUUAUUUUGUUAUCAUUAUUUUAAGAAUUAUACGAGAUGUGAUGUAUAUAAUUUUACUAAAAUUCAUGUGUAAUGUAAUUUACUAUUUAAUAAUAUAUUAAACACAGAUAAUUAAUAUUUAUAUUAAACAUUGAUAAUAUAUUAGAAGAUUUAAUCACUUUUUAAGAUAACAUUAAACUAUAGUUUAAUAUUCUUAUCUUAUAGGAGUAUUUUCCUCUUUUAUAUUAAUAAUAUAAAGCAUCCUUGGACUCUUACGUCAAACAGAAGAGAACAACAUAAGACUCGUGUUUUUCUCUUUCUCUUUUUUCUAUCAUCUUCUUCUUCACUAUUUCAAACCAAAUCCAAGAUCUAAACUCUGUUUCAUUUUCAUCACUUUCAAUUCAAUAAUGGCUAACGAUGAUGCUUUAUGCUGCGCCACUCAACUCAUUGACGGUGACGGCGAAUUCAACGCCACCGGUUUGGAUCAUUUCAUCAGAACUGUUAAUCUCUCUUCUUGUGCUCUUUCUUACGCCGUUGUUGCUAUCAUGGGUCCUCAAAGUAGCGGUAACUAGUUUUUAUUCAUUCCAUUCAAUUACACUCUUUUCUACUUCAGAGUAGUGGUAAUUGUUAUGGUUUUUGAUAAUUCAACUUGUGCACAUUAUUGAGCUUUGAUCCAUGGUUUUAAUGGUUGUUUUAUGAGAUUGUAUUUGAUUAAUUAUGUUGUAUUCUGUUAAAUAUAUCAGCUUGGACCCUUCAAGUAAAGUGAUUGUUCAGUUAAAUUGUGGAAUAAUAUUUUGCGAUUUUUGGUUAGAAUUAUGGAAUUUUAUGAAAUAGGGUUCAAGUUAGUGGGACAGAUGAAUAGAUUUAAAAAAUUAAACUUUUGAAAAGAUCGUUGGCGCAGUUUGAAUUUGUUGAGGUAACUUGUGAUGCAAGUGAAGAUCUCCACACGAUUCACGUUUUAGUUUCAGUUAUACUAAUCUGCCGUUGAGGCAACCUAAAAAAUAACCCUUUGUUUUUUCAUUCUAAUUGGAGAUACUACAAUGCAUUUCUGAUUUUAUGGUGUAUCAUUCAUGUGCAAUUUCUUUAGCUUUAUGCAAUUAUUUUCUCUCUAAUUGGCUUCUGAGGUUUGAUCUUAUGUUUUUUCGUCAUCUUUGCAGGGAAGAGCACUUUAAUGAAUCAUCUUUUCCACACAAAUUUCAGGGAGAUGGAUGCUUUCAGGGGAAGGUUAGGAUUUUGAAGUUAUUGAGCUAUUAUCAUGGACAUAGUAAACAACAGUAAGGAAAGAGAGAAAGAAAGGAUGAUAACUGGAUGUCUUCAUCAUCCAUUCAGCCUAUUAUAUCUCAGUUUAUGAUAGACGAGUAAUUGAAUAUCAUAUUUGUUGCAGAUCGCAAACAACCAAGGGCAUUUGGAUAGCCAAUUGUGUAGGGAUUGAGCCGGCUACAAUUGCCAUGGAUUUAGAGGGUACUGAUGGAAGAGAGAGGGGCGAGGUGAUAAAUUCUGUAUUAUAAGUAAUUUUCAUUUCUUGUUCUUUCUUGCAUGUGCACCAGGUCUCACUUUUGUCUUGUUUUCCUUUUUUAAAUAUAACUCCCAGGAUGAUACUGCUUUUGAGAAACAGAGUGCUCUUUUUGCUUUGGCAGUAUCAGAUAUUGUUCUGAUAAACAUGUAAGUUUAUAUUGCUUUAUAAUUGAUUGAAUGGAUUAGAUUCUAGGAUGAUCCUUGGAGUUGGGCAUUAUGGUAGGUUUUGAAUUUUUUUUAGCAAAGACUAUUCAGACCCAAAUUUUUUGUGGAGUCCAUAGAAACUACGUUGCUUAACAGAUGUCUAGGUGUUAUUGCUAGUCUUUCAGCUAACAUGGUGUAUGCUUAUAGCAUUUUUGUUAGAUUAACUUAUAUUUUGCAAUAAUCUUGCUUAAAACCUAUCUACCCGAAACUUAUCAAUGACAUUGUAUAUCAGUCUGAGUAUAGGGUGGAACACAAUGUAGUGUAAGUGUAUUUCAUAAUGAGAUCGUGGGAUGUGUAAAACUAGAUGUUAUGCAUGAAUCAUUUUCUUCCGUAUCUUUUUCUGCCUUUCUUUGGUGUCAAUUUAGUAGUUAGAUUUAAUCUGGAAGUAAAAGGAUCUGUUUCAUGAGUUAUGGGAGCUUAGAUCAGACUUAUGCAGAAGAACUAUAUUCAUUUUGGAUGAAUACUGAAGACUUUAUCUAUUCACAGGUGGUGUCAUGAUAUUGGUCGAGAACAAGCAGCCAAUAAGCCUCUUCUAAAAACAGUUUUUCAGGUAGUUUGCUGCCUUGAAUUUGCUUCUGGUUGUUGUUCAAUGUUUUAGUUUUCACACUUUGGGUUUUAUUUUAUUUGUAGGCCAUGACGCGUUUAUUCAGUCCCCGCAAGACGACAUUGCUUUUUGUUAUACGUGACAGAACAAAGGUCUAUAGCAUUUGGACCUUUCUUUAUAAUGCACCCUCUUGUUCUAUUAUAACAUUCGGUGUCCUUAUCUUGUUUCUGGCUGUCUACGCAGACCCCACUUGAACAUUUGGAGCCUAUUCUACAAGAAGAUAUUCAGAAGGUGUUAUUUCCUUCUAAUUUAUAAGUUUUUUUUGUUUUUUUUUGUGACUUUCUUCGUUUUCUUCAUUAGAAUUUUAAAUUAUGAUGCAAUUGUUUUGUUCAGAUUUGGGAUGCAGUCCCAAAACCCCAAGCUCAUAAACAUACUCCUCUUAGUGAAUUUUUUAAUGUAAGAUCUAUCUAUCUGCUUUUUUAAUUUAAGAUCUAUCUAUAUUGUGAAUAUUAAAUUAUGAUGCAUGUUCAUUUAUUCUUCAAAUAAAGGUGAAUGUUACUGCUUUGUCAAACUACGAGGAGAAGGAGGAUAAGUUCAAAGAAGAGGUACCCUUUCCAUGAUAUAGUACAUCACUUUUAAGAACUCAAUACUCUCCUCAGACCCUAUUAUGUGGGAGCCUCGUGCAAUGGGUCACCCAUUUUAAAGGGAGGGGGUCCACUUACUCCAAGAGUUCAUAUCUUAGCCAUCAAUUCUAGAGAAAUCUAAUGGUUUAGAUCUACUCACUAAUUCAAACCAUUGGAUUUCCCUAGAAUUGAUGGCUAGUAAGUGGAUCCCUUCUCUUUUUAAAUAAUGAAAAUUUGAAAAUUCCAUGUUGAACUUUACCAUUUUGGGUUCUUUUCUUUUGUGUGUCAUGGUAUAUCUGACAGUGGUAAACUUUCUCGUGCAGGUUGCUCAAUUACGACAGCGUUUCUUCCAUUCUAUAGCGCCUGGAGGUCUUGCUGGUGAUCGGCGUGGUGUUGUGCCUGCAUCUGCUUUUUCUAUUAGUGCACAGCAAAUAUGGAAAGUCGUACGGGAGAACAAGGAUCUUGAUCUUCCGGCGCAUAAGGUUUCCUACUAUCUUAUUUUUGUGAUGUAACUGGUUUUGUCUCCUUAUUGUUUUCCAUCUUAUUUAACAGGUAAUGGUUGCAACCGUGCGUUGUGAAGAGAUUGGCAAUGAAAAACUUAGUCAGUUAUGCGCUGAUGAGGUGCUCAUCCAUAUCUCCUGUACUGUAAUCUUUUGUGAAUUGCAUCAGUUGUUUAUAAAAUCAGUCAUCACAUGAAUAUAUUUGGCUUAGGGUUGGUUGGAGCUGGAUGAGGCUGUUCGAUUAGGUCCAGUACUAGGUUUUGGAGAAAAGCUGAGCUCUAUUAUCGAUACCUACCUUUCACAGUAAGUUCCAGAUGUUGGUGCUGAAUUUUAGUAUUCCAGUCCACGUUAAACUUAUGCUCAAUGCCUACUUGAUUUUCUGUUUAAUUUCUGAGUUAAAAGUUAACUUUUUCCUACCUUUUAUUAACUCCUGUGUAUGUUUAUGCGAGUCAUUGAAGAAUUGUAAAAUUAGGAGUGAUUGGGUUCUUCGCGGUUGUUUCAAAAGUCAUAGGAUGCAACUAAUGAUUAGAAUGUUAGAUUAAUAUUUAUUGAUUGGUGGGUUUAAACUUACUUAUUUGAUAUACUGAUAAUUAUGCUUUCAACAGAUAUGAUCGGGAGGCUAUCUUCUUUGAUGAAGCUGUGAGGAAUGCAAAACGAAAGCUAUUGGAGUCUAAGGCAUUGGAUGUAAGGCUGCCUGCUACCUUUAUAUGGCUUUAUUUCUAAAUUUAGUUUUGAUCCAUUUGGGCUAAAUUUUGACAAACUAACCGUGGGUUGUUGCAACAAACUCAAGCCUUUUUUAUCUAAGAGAUAAUAAUUUAAGCCUCUUCAAAAAUCUUGAGCCAAGCCGAAGAAGUUCUUUAAUAAAAGGAUUUUUUUUGGGGGAUAAAGGAGUACUAUAGAGGCUUUAAACUUCAACACAGCUUUCCAAUCCCUGCAACAAUUUCCUUAAUAAAUGGAAUGAACAACAAAUACAAGUGAAAGCAAAAGUAAAAAAGUGGAAGGAAGACACAAGCUGUAGAGAAAAGAGGAACUAUGAUAUUUCGGUCCACAUGACGUCAUCUAAGCUCAUUGGUUGCUCUUGGAUUUUAGAUAUGAAAGCUUAUUUUGUAUAAGUAAAUAAAAGUAGGAAAAUAUACUCAAAAACUCUAGCAAAAUAUUGACAAUUUUUAUUUUUAAUGUAAUUAUAAAUAUCAUAAUACUAAAUUUGCAUUUAUAAGAAUGACAGUUAGGUUUUUUAUUUAUUUCUUUUUUAAAUUUUAUUCAUAUGUUUACUGAUGAUUGUAUAUUAUAUCUUUCAAAUUUAUUUAUUUUGCAAACCGGUUCAGCCACUGUUUAUACAAUGAACCCCUCUAUUUUUUGGUUCAAUUGUCGAACCAGUUUUUAAAACAUCGAUGAGUAUUGUUGUAUAUCAACCAUAAUGUAACGAUGUUCUGUUCAAGUGCACUUUCUUAUUGAUAUGAAAAUAUUACAAAAAACCACCAAGGGCUCUGCUAUAUAUUAUUGAUAAUGGCUUUUGAAGUCUGCAUGCACUCAAGUAUAUUUACACAAAAUUCAUUUGACUUUCUUUAAUUUUUUUGGCCAACUUUUCAGUUUGUGUAUCCUGCUUAUACAACAAUCCUAGGACAUCUACGCUCUAAAGCUCUAGAUGAUUUUAAAACUAAGCUGGAGCAAUCACUAAGCAAAGGAGAAGGGUUCGCUUCAGCUGUUAAUGUGUGGACUCAAUCUAUUAUGCUCGAGUUUGACAAAGGAUCUUCUGGUAAUAGUCAGAUAGGAUUUUUCUUCAUAUCAUUACAUUGUCACCUAUAACUGUAUAUGCACAUUUUAGAACUAGUUGAUAACCAGGGUCCUAGCUUCAGUCUCCACUUGCUUCUUCGAUUUAAAUUAGUAAUUAUUUGACAUGCUGCCUAUGUCAUUUUAACUUGUACAUUUUCCACUCCAGGCUUAUAUUGGUUGUGGACAUUUAAAGUGAUGAAGAGUGGCGAGAAUUACUACUAUUUUGUAGGAUUGAGAUUCAGUUCUGCGGAGGUUUACACGGUGUUAAUUCCCAAAUCCCAAGUUACUAUGUUUGUAAAGAAAAUGUGCAGGACCUAAUUAAUAUACACAAUCUUACAUUCUUACUUUUAGUCCAUAGUCUAAUGAAUUUAAAGGCAAUUGCAUAUGGAGAAUAGGGGAAAAUAAAAGAGUUCUUCUGAGAAUGGUUAUUACUAUAUUCCUGUUUUUUUAUUCUAUUAAUGGAGAGAUCAUUGAGUAUGGCUAGUCUCGCUCAAAUUUAUCAAGAGGAUAUUUUAAAUUUAACCUAGAUGCAUAUUAUGACAUUGUUGAUUUGUCGAGAGUUUAUUAUGUGUAUGAAACCAAAAAAAAAAAAUCAAGAGCAUAAUUGAAAAUUGACUUUUAGAUUCAUUAUAGAGAAACAUAAAAUUAAUUAUUUAAUCUUGAAGUAGAAUCGCCAGGAUUUUUUUAUUCUUCAGUUUCAUAGAUCUAGAAAGUCUGGCUUUAUCUGGUUUUUUAUGGGCAUUGUUAUAUUUAUUCACAUAAAUAAAAAGAACAGAAGAACAUUUGCAUAAAGGUUGACUUCUGCUCAGUCUAUUUCAUGGGAUGCAUCUCACUAGUCCAUCCAUCUGACUAUAUUUCUGUUUGUUUGCUCCGUAAAAUGCUUAAUCCUAUUUGGUCCUUAUUUAAUAUUAUUUGCAUUUCCAGGUGCUGCUGUAAGACAGGCUAUUUGGGGCGAUUCAAAAGUGCGAGAUAAACUUCGUCGUGAUAUUGAGUCACAUGCUUCCUCUGUACGCAGUGAAAAAUUAGCAAGGAUAACGACUAACGUUGAGGUAAUACUGUUGUGACUACAGGUGACUUAAGCUGAAUGGUCUUCAAUUGAUGCCUUCAAUAUCCCUGUCAAGUGUCAACCACUAAAAUAGAAUAUAUUUUGUAGAAACAACUGGCUAAGGCAUUGGCUGAACCUGUGGAGUCCCUCUUUGAAGCUGGUGGAAAGGACAUCUGGCUUUCGAUAAGAAAACUUCUUGCACAUGAGACUGAAGUUGCUGUAUUCGAAUUUUUAACAUCCAUUGCUGGUUUUGAGCUGGACGAAGAAACAGUUGAAAGAAUGCAACAAAGCUUAAGGGACUAUGCAAGAAAAGUGGUGGAGAAUAAAGCAAGAGAAGAAGCUGGAAAUGUUCUGAUCCUCAUGAAAGAUAAGUAAGGAUAUUUUAAAGAUAGCUCAUCUUUAUUAGGUAUAUUUGGUGAGUCUUGGGUUUGAAUUUUAAAAUGUGGUAUAAAAAAUUAUCUAUUAUUGACAUUUUGGAACACGAGAGUUGAAAGUGGAGAGGAUAUAAACAAGUCUGGACACUGUUCUAUUUUUUAUUCAUUGAUGCCUGGUUGGAGUAGAAUGCACAUUCUUUAAGCAGAAGUUUCUGUAUGCUACUGUCAUGGGUCUGAUGUUUUUUCGCAUUUUACUAAGCUAUGCUAACGUGUACUUUUCAAGCAUUCUUUGGUAGACAUGUGCAUAGACAGGUUUUGCAUUCAUCUUAUCAAAAGAGGUAGAGAAAGGCAUAAGAAAACAAGAGAGAAACUAUUAAAAAAAACCUUGCUUUAAACUUUUACUGAAAUUAUAGAUUUCGAUAAAGCCCAGUGACGUUAUUUAAACCGUGCAGCUGACUCCACCUUGUGGGACAAGGUGUGAUUGUUAUUCUAAUUUGUGUUCAUUAUUCUGUUUUGGAGGUUGCCCUUUACUGUAUUUGUACUUUUCUGUUGUGAUGAAAGAAAGUGUCCUAUUCUAGUUAUUUGUCAAUUGUCCUUAAUUUUUUGGGUUAAUUUGGUGGCUCACUGAUUUUUCUAAUAAUUUUCAGGUUCUCGACCGUGUUCAAUCAUGACAAUGAUUCACUGCCUAGGGUUUGGACAGGGAAAGAAGAUAUCAGAGCUAUUACAAGGGAUGCUCGCUCUGCGGUAAUUGAUUAGCAACUUCAAUCAUAACUUUUCAGCUUGCUUAUACUUCAAAUUAUAUUUGAAAUAAUGUUUUAUUUUAACACCAUGUAAAAUAUCUUCUGCCGUGUAUCAGUCACUUAAGCUUCUAUCAGAUAUGGCUGCUGUACGCUUGGAUGAGAAGCCAGAUCAUAUUGAAAGUGUACUUCGUUCAUCACUCUUAGAUAGAACUGUUGCAGCAACAUCUUCACAAUAUGCAAUUAGAGAAGCUUCUGUUGAUCAACUGGCUUCAAGCACGUGGGACGAAGUAGGAUAUAGUGAUAUAUAUCGUUAUUUUUCUAAGCAUUACAAAAGUGAUAUUUAUGGUUCCCUUGAUAAUGUUGUAGUCAAAAUAAUUAUAUUUGAGAAUAUUUAAAAAAAAUGUAGGUUUCGCCACAAGAUAUUCUCAUCACUCCAGUGCAGUGCAAGUCUUUGUGGCGACAAUUCCAGGGAGAAACUGAGUACACAGUUACUCAAGCUAUUUCAGCUCAGGUAAAAUCAUCAGAUAAUAUUCCUGCCUGCUUUUUUUCCCUCUUUCCUUUUAUUAAUUGAUUAUUUCCUGCAGCUUUAACCAACUUUUCUGCAGUAUAUGAAAAAUCAAACCCCCUUUAUUUCUCCAUUAUUUUGUAUAAUAGAUUAGACGUAACCAAAGUGUGUGACAUGUAAUAUGGUGCCAUCUUCAAUUUUCACCCCAAGCAAGUGCUAAAACACAUCUUAUGGGAACAUGCAUUCCAUAUACUCCUCUUGACUUCGGCUUAAAGUGAAGCCAUGUGAUUUACCUUCUUAACUCUACCAUUUAUGUCAUCUUUCAAAUAUAUUCCAUUAGGAUUAAGUCAUCUAUAAAAAAACGUGUGUUGAAUUAAGGAAGAUGUGUUUGGAAGUAAGUUCUAUAUUGCCUGUCUACUUAUCUCGGGAAUGGUUUAAAUACCUAUUGGGCUACUUCUCUUAUUGCCAAUUGGUUUUGUAAUGGAACCUUAACAUGGUAUGAGAGAGUCAGAGCCCAACUUCUUUCCUGUUGUCAUAGGUCAAAAGAUGUCCUUUAGUCAUGGGUUAAAGGUAGCCCUUCGCCUAGUCUGAUAGGUUUAUGUGGAGGGGCAUGUUUGGAAGUAAGUCUCACAUCCUCUGCCUCAUUGUCUCGGGAAUGGUUUAAAUACUUGUUUGACUACACCUCUCAUUGCUAAUUGGUUUUAAAAUGGAACCUUAACAAGAUGCAUGUCAAUAAAUAUAUGCAAUUUGUAACCCUGUAUUAUAUGAUUAUUUUGGUGGAUACAAAUUUUCUUAAAGCCCAAGCAGUUCAUAAAGUUGGAAUUGGUUAUUGGAGUUGCAUCAGUAAUUAAAUGUUAUAUUUAUUGCAUUUUUGGUUCCAGUAUUAUUCUUAAUCCAAAACAUUCAGAAUCUAGAAAACUGUAAUUUUCCAUGGCCAAGAGGGAGACCAUUAGAAGUCCCAUUAAGGAGAGUAGAUCACAUGAAGGUUAAGCUAUUUUCUGGAUGAAGAACCAUAGACAGAACUAUUAAGAAAGAUUUAGAGAACAAUGCUUUGUCAAUAAACAUGAUUUAUAAUAGAACAUUAUGACAUUGUUCGAUCGGUGUAGCCGACCUCAGUUAGUGGGAUUACGGAUUUUUUGUUGUCAUUGUCAUGAAAUGUAUUUACAGCAAAUGGUAAGAACUAGAAAUACAUCUUUCAUGCAUUCCCUGCUGGAAACAGUAAAUGCAAAAAAUGUGACAUUAAAUAUGGAUGCAACUCCUAUAAUCUAUGACUAAUUUUGACGGCCUGUAGUUAUGUAAAAUGUGCUUGUAAAAUUUUCUAUAGAUGAAUAACAGUCAGUAGUGUUAAUCAUAUCGUCUCUUAUGCCUUAAUUCUUCUAGACCUGGUUACCUGGCUUCCUCACACUGAAGUGGUUUGAUUUUAAUGAUAAAACCAUUUGGUGAGAGUAGGCUUGCUAGGAUUAUGAGAAUGGUGUUUGCUCCUACCUUUUUUGGCUAUUGUAUUUUUACGUACUUGUUUCUGUGCGGUCCCUUUUACGUACUUGCUGCAGUUUCUAACAAAAUGUGAUUCAUCUUCUUUCUCUUUGCCUUGGCACUUAUCUAAUUCCAUCAUACUAACGAAGGUGUUGUUCCUUGCUUUUUUUGGUUUUUUGCUAUGGGUUCAGGAGGCCUACAAGCGGAGUAACAAUUGGUUACCUCCUCCAUGGGCAAUGGUGGCAAUGCUCGUGCUUGGUUUUAAUGAAUUUAUGCUUCUUCUAAAGUAAGUGUCACUUUGAAUUUAUUUAUUAUCAUUAGUUCAUUACUAUUGUUGCUAUACUAUUAUUUUUUAUUGGAGCUUAUUCUCGUCAGUUUAAUAAUGACAUUUGUUGACUUUUUAUGUGAAACAGAAAUCCUCUCUACAUGCUAUUUAUAUUCAUUGCCUAUCUACUUGGAAAGGCCAUAUGGAUACAAAUGGACAUAGCUGGAGAGUUUCGACAUGGCACUGUGAGUAUGAGUGGUCUAUAUUCUUUUAUUUUUACUAGUUCUGGCUGUAGGAUGCUCAAAAUUCUAUGCUUUUCUGUCUAAUUGAAUAAACUAUUAUAAUCAUGCUAUGUGAACACACACAUACCAGUUCGAGACUAGAUUGUUUUUCAUAGAAAGGGCCGGGCAGUCUGGUGCCUUUGCUCCCGCUAUGAGCGAGGUCCGCUAGUGUCAAAACAAGUCGGCCUAUAGUAGGUAGCUUUACCUUGCAUUUGUAAGAGGCUGAUUAUAUGACUCAAACCUGUGGCCACCAGGUCAUAUGACAAUAACUGCAAAUGUUGCAUGUUAUAUUUUGCUAAACAACACAGCAUUCCACUUUGCAAAAAAUCUGCUAUUACCUGAUGUAAAGCCUUGGUUGUUUGAGUUUUUUUGACAGAAGGGCUUUUUUUAAUGAAAAACAUUUUUGAACUUACCUGCUUGUUUGGUUGGGCUUUUACUAAAAAAACAAGCUAUAAAGAAGUUAAAAAGUGCUUUUUAUGAGAAGCUAUAUUUUCCUGCUUCUGAAUAAAGCUAAUGAUUUGCAUGAAAAAACUUUUACUAAAAGCACUUUAUCUAAUUUGAGUCUAAUGCAAAAUAGCUUCUGAUAUACUAAAAUGGUUAUUCACCAAUGAUAUAUAGCAUAAGAAGGGCUGGUUGAAUAAUGAUGUCAACUACAAAGGUGACAAACUCCAUCAGAUUAUUGUGUACUUAUGCCUCUUUUGUUUACAGCUGCCUGGACUUCUAUCCCUUUCAUCAAGGUUUCUUCCCACAGUCAUGAACCUUCUUAAACGUCUCGCCGAAGAAGCUCAGGGUAAUCUAACAAAUGAAGGAACUGAGCAACAUAGUUCAGAUACUCAGAUAUACAGAAAUCAAGCGCAAAAACGUAAUUUAGCAUCAACCUCAUUCACCACCAAUUCAUCUGUAUCUAGUGUUGGCUCAACAAAUGGUGGUAAUGAAUCCUCUGCCACAAACUUUUCUACAAAGGUUACAGAAGCUGAAUUUUCAUGAUAUUUUACUUUAAAGAUGGUUGGCAUCAAAAUAGGUUAUGCACUCACAUCAGUUUUGCAUUUUGCUAUAAUACUAAUUUACUUUUCUUCUUACCCGCUCUUGAUAUUAAAUAUUGUUGUACCCUUUUAACGUGUAAGUUAUAAGAUCACAUGAAGGGUAGGACCCCUAUUUGGGUUCUGCAACUUAAAAUAUCAUCCCCUGUUCAAUAGUGACAGAAUAUUAACAUUGUAAACUAAUUUUCCUCUCCUUUUUAGCAACUCUAAAAUGUUUUGAUAAUCGACUCUUCUAUCUAUGAUCGCACGAAAGUGAUGAUAACCAUCACUGAGAAAUCGUCUGCACAAAAAAGGGUCGAUUUUAUGUCAGUCGAAUUUGCUGUGAUCCCACCAAGCAAACACAAUGUUGUACAAAUUAAAAUUAGGAGGUAAGAAAUCAUAGUUGUUUGAUGUAGUAGAACUAGCUGAGGUACAUAAAGAAAUUCCUAGUCAGGAAAAUAAGGGGAACAGAAACAGUUGUGAAAAAUGUCAGUUUGCAAGAAACAAGAGUGAUUUGCUCUAACCAAAGACUGGUGAAGGACUUCUAUGUGUUGGUUGUGAAUUGUGAUUGAAUUCUCUCUUCUCCCUCCUAUUUCUGUUGCUUCUGUCAAGGACAACAUUUUUCUGCACCUAAAUAAUAGUAUUCCUUACUACUAAAGUACUUAAUAAAGUGCAGAAUUAUAUUAUUCAGUAACAGUUUGUGAAUUAUCUUAUUAGUUUAGAAUCUAGCUGUUAAAUGUGUCUCCCUUGAAACCUUCAGGUAGGUCCUGAGCAGGUUUAGCUUUUGCUUGUGACAAUUUUUUUUCUUUCCUUAGUGAUUGAGUCUGGUUUACCUUUUUUUAGUCAGUUUUAGUCCACUUUUGAAAAUGGGUUGGACUAGAAUAGACACUGUCUAAAGGCUAUCCCAUUUUUCUUAACCCCUAUUUGAGCCUAUAGUUAUUAACGGAGGCACAUCUGAUGUCUCGUAGUUUAUGUCACUCCAUGUACCAUGUGCUUGUAAUUGGUCAGAAAAAUGAUUAAUAAUUAAAUUUUAACUUAAAUAUAAUUUUUCUGAUCCAUCACAAGUUCAUGUUAUAUGAAGUAGUACAAACUAUGAGACAGCAGAUGUGUAUCAAAGUGGUAGCUAUUUUUAGAAGACCUAAACUUAGAUAGGUGAUUCUGGUCAUUCUUGAGUUUGAAUUUAUUACCUUGUAUUGUUGAUCACUUUACUUUCAACCUAUGCAUCAAUUUCAUAGAAGGGUUGAGAUUUGAAUGAUGACUUAGAUAUGUUUUUACUCCACUAAAAAUAUAAAAGCACUCAAAAAAUGGUUAUUAGCUAGGGUCAUUAUUCAUGACAAAUAACAUCAUAGUGGAACUUGACUUUAUGAUUUGACAUCAUAAGAUGGACACAAUCAUUUAGAUUACAACAUACGUCUACCAAAUAUACCAUAUAUAUAUAUAUAUAUAUAUAGAAUCUAUAUUUCUAGUUAAUUCAAUGUUCAUUGCUUAGAAACUUGGUGCUCAAUGAAAUGCAAUGGUACAAAAGGAUUUAUGUAAUAACAUUGGGAAUAAUGGGAAUUAGACCAUAAAGAUCAAUUUCCUUCUAAUACUCCAUCAUGGUGUUCAAUUUUGAUUAUACUUAUAUGCACCCCAUUUUCAUUACAUAUCUUUUGAUAUUCAAGUCAUAAUGGCAAAAGGUGAUAAAGAGAAGAAAAAAAUGAUUUAGUGUCAUUAUGAGUUUACAGUAUUAAGUUUUUUUUAUAAUACUACCAUAUUAUUCAUUACUUAUGUAUAUAAUUUUAUGUAAAAACCUUAUUAUUAUUACUAUUAUUAUUAUAUUAUGAUUAAUAAUAAUAUAUAACAUGUUGCUAAUUUUAAAACCUUUACAAAUGCAUAUUUUCUGGUUCUUUCUACCACUAAUUUAAUUAUUAGUGGAACAUAUUUAUGACAAGAGUGUAAUAUAUGCACCGUGAGUGUAAAAAUUUAUACACACUUAAUAUAUUAUUUAUCAUUCGUUUAUAUUUUUUUUGAAGAGUCGAUGAUAAUUAAAUAUAUAUGAUGUACUAUAUAAAACUCAUACACUUUCAGUACAUACAUUUCUCUAAUGUGAGAAUGUGCUCUCUUAUAUUCAACAUGAUGCAUCCCUUGUUCACAAAGAAAUAGAAGAAAAGUAGGAGACACCACAUUUUGGUUAAUUGGAAGGUAAUCAAAGUAUAUUUUGAGGACAAAAGAUUCAUGAUAUUCUUCAAAAUGGGCCCCAUUUGCUUUGAAUUUGAUAGAUGCCUCUUUUUGUUUUUUCAAGUCUUGAGUCAAACAACCGAAAGAGAAAGUCUUUUUUUUUGUUGAAGUUGUGACAAUGUCCUUCUCAUUUUCACCAUCAAAUGCCCAUCUUCUAUUUCUAAGCUUACACUAUCAUCAAGAGCUACUAUAUAUUGUUUCUUUCACCAUACAAUUACUUCGAACAAAUGUUAUAGUUGCUCAAGAUAUAACUAUCAUGAGUCACAACAUUUUUAUGAUUAUAUCUAUUCAAAACUCCUUAAAAUUACUAAUUAAUCUCAAUCAGACAAUUACGAGAGCACAUCUUGUGUCUCACAUCUUGUGUCACUCCAUGUGUCGUGAGUCGUGAGUGGUUGAAAAAAAAAAUAUUUAAAUUAAAACUUAAUUAUUAAAUAUUUUUCUGACCAAACACGACUUAUGACAUAUGAAAUGACAUAAUGUUGUGAGACGGAAUAUAUGAUGCUGACAAUUACGAUUUUGUGGUCACAAUAUAAUUUUAGUAAUUCCGGAAAUGUUGAUAUAUGGGCAUUUGUGUUCCUAUACCCGAAUUUAAAACCUUGCUUUCAUUUUUUACAAAAUGGAGAAAUGGAAAUUAUUACUUUACCUAACUCACCUGCCUAUGGAUACCUUUUGGUCCCUCUAAAGUUCACAGGUCCUACAAACCGUUCUAUUAGUUGAAUGUCACUCUUCAAUAUUUGAUGGUAGGUUGCUUCAAAUAGUACCCUAACUUCCCUGCUUUGAACAAUAUCAUUACAUUAUUGUUCUCUUGUUUUCUUUCUACAAUAAAAUACUGUUCCCUCCAUUAUUCAUGGAUAUUUCACAAGAGAAAAUAAUUUCUUUUUCUUUUAUAUAUGAUCACCCUCCUUGUAUUUUUUUCAUUAUAUAUGAUUCAUCAAAAACUAUAGGCUCCACCUUCCCUCGUUAAUACUUUAUCUUUAAAUGUUGUGCAAAACUGUUACUCUAAGUUCUUAUAUAUCUAUAUCUAGUGUUGUGAUAUGACAAAGAUUCCAUAUCCUAAAAUGCGUUUCAGACCAUGUUUCUGGCUAAUAAAAAUAUGUCAUGUUAAUUAAAAAAUUAAAUAUUCAUUAAUUUUUUCUACUUUUUACUUUAGUAUCAUUGAUUCAGACCAUAAUUUAGGAUACGGUUUACGACAAUAAAUCUUUGUCCAUUAUAACAUGGUAUUGAGAUUGACACAUGUAUGUGACUUUUCUCCACUUUUAUUGUUUCUAUUUGGAAUCUUGUGAUCCUAGAAUGCCUUGUUUGGGUGUUGGGCGGCAAAACUUUAUUCUCACAGUAAAAUGUUGUGAAUCCAAACAAGUUUUGACAAAUGUGUAUCUAUUGUUUUUGUGGAAUCAAGAUCCUCUCUCCUACAAGUUUUCCAUCCUCAUGUCCCAAGUCAAUUAUAUCUCACCAAAUUACAUAAAAAUAUUAUUUUAUAUAUUUUUUAAUUUUCUUUUUAAGUAUGUGUUAAAUUUCUGUUGAAUUAAGAUACAAUAGGACACAAAAAAGUAGGACAGCUGAUCCCCAUUCAUUUUUGUGAUCCAAAAAUCACCUCUCUUGUUGAAAAAUAGUAGUACCAUUUCAAAAGAAAUAUGUAUGAUGAUAGUAUAAAAGAUUUAUAUAUUAUUAUUAUAUUCAUUAUAUAUAAUGCAAAUGAAUAGUAAUCAUAUAUAUACUAACAAUAAUUUAUAAGAGAUUUAUACAUUAUUAUUACACUUACUAUAUGUAAUACAUUGUGAGUGUACCUAUUGUGCAUAAAUAGUAGUUAUUUUCAGUCCGGUCACUAAAAUUAUGAAUGCGUCGUAUUUAAUCAUUUUCUAUAAAAAUAUUUUUAAAUCUAAACAAAAUAGGACAUAUCAUAUUUUUACGGGUGAGAGAAGAUAAAUUAUCUCAUAAUAUAAGAAGAUAUUUUAUUAAUAUAAUAAAUAAUGUAUAGGAUCCUAGAGAAUAUAUAGUUAUAUAUGUUAGGACUCGUGGGUUCAUGCCCCUUUAGGAUAGUGGAAGCCUAUAUAGUUAGUGUCACUGACCAUAGCCAUUGACUAACUACCACCAGACCCCACAGGGUUGACUUAAUAAGUUUUUUACUGCACCAACUGAAUUUGUAAUCUAUUUAUCAAUUGCUCCAUUUUUUCGGUAAAAGAAUAGUAUCUCAUAUCUUAGAGAUAAAUUAUUGUUUUCUAUUUUUAUACUUUUUCCUCACAUAAGAUCUUUGCCAUUUUUUAAAGUUUAGGUCACUUGGUAACUAAGAAGAUUCUCAUAAAGAAUUUGAAGUAACACUUAUAAAUUAUGAGAUAUUUCCACAAAAACUGGAUUAACACUUAUUGGCCUAAAUGAUACAUCUUAAAAGUCACAAAUUUCAACCAUUAUGGUUGUUCUUCACCUUAAAGUAAAAUGUAAAAGAUAACAACUUUUAUUUUUGUCUAUAUAGCUAAUGAUCUAAAGCAUUUUCUAAGUGAGACACAUAACCAUGUAGCCACUAUUCCUGUACUGUUGACUUUCCCUUCACGUCAAUCCUUAAAAAAACAUUUUAUUUGUUUUUUGCAUCAAGAAGCCUUAGCUUAGUAAUGAUAUAAUAAUAAUUAAAUAUAUUUCUGUUUGGUUUUGGAGAAACUUUUUAUCUAACUAGAGAGACUUAUCUCUCCGAAUACAAUCACAAAAAGGCCUCUCAAUAGUGAUUUUAUAUUAUUGAGUAAAUCUAUACAAUUUAAUAGGCCCACAUUAAAUUUAUUCAAUAAUUAAAAUUAUAUUAAAGAGAAUAUUAAAAGAAAAAAUAAUCUAGUAUUAUUGUUAGAGUUUCAAUACAAAGUUUUUUACAUUCUCAUUCCAUUUUACUUAUUAAAAUUCAUGUAUACUACUAAUAUUACUGAUGAUAGAUAAAUCGACAAUGUAAAAACUCUUACAUGUUUCUAAUAUGUCCUUAAUGUGUUGCCUUCUAAUAAAAGGUUAUAUAAUGCAUGCCACUCCCUCAUAUGCCUCACUCCACUCUCUUUCUCACACAUUUGUUUAUUUCUGCUUCACUUACUUUCUUAUGUGUCCUUAGCCAUAUAUUCUGAUAAAGUGAUACUCCCUUUUGUUUUAAGGAAGUUAGGGUUUGUUUGGAGGGAGAGGGUCAACAAUGAAGGAAGGGUGUGGAAGGAAGCAUGGUGCAGCCACACCUUGUGCUGCAUGUAAACUUCUGAGGAGAAAGUGUGGUCAGGAUUGUGUUUUUGCACCAUAUUUUCCACCUAAUGAGGCCCACAAAUUUGCCAAUGUACACAAAGUGUUUGGUGCUAGCAAUGUUAACAAGAUGCUUCAGGUAAUUCACUUUUUUCUUCUUCUAAAUCUCAAUACCCUACAUGUCUUUAUUUACUAUUAACUUUUUUUUACUAUAUAUUAGUCACUAGCAGAAUAAGGUUACAUAUAUUUAUCAUCUCCAGAUAUCUAAGUAAAAACCUCGUGCAUUGAGUUACCCUAUUUGUUAUAUAGUAGUCACUAGCCGGUUGAUGCAAUACACAUACAAAUUGUUAAUCUAAUUUUUCCAAAGGAUUUAUGUUAAAAAUUUGCUACUACUUAAUAUUGGCAAUAACUAAGAAAAAGUAUCUAAACAUAGAUUUACAUAUUUGUACCUGUCAAAUUAAGGAACCAUAAUAUAUGUUUGGAAUAAGAUUCCAUGGUAUUACAAAUGCAACAAGCCCUUAGAUAUUUGAUUAAUUUCAUUACCACAUAUAAUGUAAUGGAGGGUGAAAUUUGUAGGACCUACCAAUGCAUCAAAGAGGGGAUGCAGUGAGCAGCAUGGUGUAUGAAGCAAAUGCCAGAGUGAGAGACCCUGUGUAUGGUUGUGUAGGAACCAUUUCUUCUCUUCAGCAGCACAUUGAUCUGCUUCAGACCCAACUGGCCCUGGCCCAAGCUGAAGUGGUUCAUCUAAGGGUGUCUCAAACUAGAUGCAUUCCUAAUCUUGUGCUUAGCCCAACUAAUAGUGGCUCACCAUCAUCCAAGAUCAUGGGCUCUCAUGCUAACCCUGUUUUUGAUAUGGACAUGGUAGUGGACCAGGUUAGCUAUGGUGAUUCAUUGUGGUCAUGACUCAUGAUUCAUGUUCAUAUAAUUCUAGUGUAGUUUCUAUUGUUUUUUUGUAUAAAAUCAAGGGUAUUCUAUCACGGGGUGAGUAACUAAUCUCUUUUCGGGUGUGUGAUUGUCUCUCGUAACAAAUAUGGAUUCCAGGAAUCAAAUAUUUGACUAUAUAGUCAAUCUAGAGAUCUAGUAAGAUCUUACAUUACUAGACCAACACUGGUAGUGUAGUUUCGACUUGGUGGUAAUUGUGGCUGGACUGCCGUGGUGUCGGAUCGGAGGAGCUGUGGCGGAGGCUUCCGCCCGCUUAGUUAACUUUUAAGUUUUGGUUAAUGGUCUCUCAUUGAUGACAAUGUUCUGUAAAUAUUAUCAUUUAACAUUGUAUGAAAGAAGUUUGUGGUGUGAUUAUGGAUUGUUCAUGGGAAAUUGUUGGUUGCAUGGAAAAUUCUUUUGUUGUUUUAUUAAAACUAUGAAUUUGCGUUUACAUAGAUUUUGAUAAAUAAUAUUUGCUUCAUUGAUUGUAAUGUUGAAGUAUUUUAGGUAAUGUGCCUUACAUAACAUGGUGGCUCUUGUAAUACCCUAAUUUAAGUGUGACCCAUCAUGCAUCUUAUUGUUUUCAUCAUUGGCUUGAGAUUAAAAUAUGAAAAAAUUGAAAUGAAAACAUUACUCUAGCGUUUUUAACUGGGUUUUAUGUAGUAGAGAUUAGUGACUCUUAGGAGUGUAUAAAACUCGUUUCAUCAUACUAAUUCUAGUUUUUCAGGUCUAAGUUCAGAUUAUGCAGAGUCAUUCCAAUUUGUCUAAAUAUCUAGUUACUGGCUGCCCCUCCCGACACUCAACACUUGAAGGGCAGUCACGAACUCUGAAAAGAAUUAGUUCCUCACCAAAAAAGGUGAGAGAAAAUACCAAGAAAAAUAUAUCAGGUUAAAAAAGGCAGCUUAGUGCAACAUGCUUCCACUUACUGAAAUCUAGGGAAGGUAGAUAUACACAAUCUUACUCUGCAAGUGGAGACAAUGUUUCCAAAAUUUGAACCUGUAAUCACAUGGUCACUAAAUAACAACCUUACCGUAUUGAUAUCACAUGCUAUUUUAAAAUAUUUACUUCUCUUGUAAGUAUGGGUAAUAAAACUUCUGAACUUGAAUGAAUAACCUUUUUUUAAACAUGAUAAUUAAUUCCCUUACUAACAAUGAUCUUCUUCACCAAGCAAGAUCAUCAACACUGACUAAAAUGUGUAACAAAAAAUAAUAUGCCUCAGUAAGAGGCUGCACACACUACUAACAUGGAUUUACAUUCAACACCAACCCGAAAUUGUAGUUAUAUAGUAGAGUGAACAAAGGAACAAAAACUGAGUUCAGUAAUUGAUUGUGGUUCUGGUUCAUCAUUCCAUUACACACAAAUAACUAAUUAAAAUUUACAAACUGAGCACAUAAAUUCCCCACCUUCAUAGCACCCUUCUCUUCUCUCCCUCUUUCCUGAUAAACCAUAAACAACCAAAAUUUCAUAAAUAAAUAAAGAAAGAAUCAUUUACUAAAUAAAUAAAUUUUCACUACUAAAAUGUGUUAAUCAAGUGGUAUAAGACCCAGAUAAACCAAAAGGUCAAUAGGACAAUUUGUGAGCGCGACAUUUGUUGAAUAUCGCACUCCAAAAUGAUUAGUUCCUAAACCAAGAGGGUGAGGAUACCCUUUACUCUAUAAUCUUGAACUGUCUCAUAAAUAUAUCUAACUAUCACAUUAUCAUGUCAUAUAUAUUGCAUAAGGAUAUCUCAAUUCUCAACCAGGCAUUAGAAGCUAAAUUGUAAUAACAUAAAACUCAUAAGAUAAUAAGUAACAUAUAAAUAUGAAAGAACUAAGAGAUAGUAACAAUAACCUUAAAAGCACUAGACAUCCUUAGCAACAAGUUCACCAUUCAACAACUCUCUAUAAGCUGCAAUAGGCCAACUGAAACCCUUAAACAACAACCUAGAAGCAAGAGGAACAUCGAUAAUAAUCUCCUUCUGUGUUGGUUUCUUCUCAUCACGUAUCGCAAUCAAGUAGCUUCUACCAACCCAUCCAAUCCAACCUGCAAUAUAAAGAAACAAAACCCCAGGUGUAAUAAACUCACCCCAGUGUCUUUGAUCACCACUCACUAUCAAGUGUGGCAACCCAUCAGAACCACACAGCAACCCUUGCUUCCCAUAGUUC
rnacentral:lncRNA from 1 species